CAACCAGCCUCAAGUAAACAAUCUCCAAACUUUGGAUCAUUGGGAUUCAUCUUAUUCAAAGCAAUGGACUUGUGAAGAAUCUCAUCUAAGUUUUUCAAGGAAUAGUCAGGAAAGCGUUCCUCAAGAAAUCUCCAUAUAGUAUAAGCACAAUCAAGAGUAGGCAAGUGACCAAUCAAAUUUCUAGGCAAUCCUCUAGUGAUAGGAUUGAUAGUUCUAAUAUUGUGAAUCAUGUCAAGAGACUCGUCAUGGGUGGAUGCAAGGGAUCAACAAGGGGUUCACAAGGCGUAGUAAUGUACUUGUUCAAGUGAUAUUCAUGAAAAAAUCCAAGCAUCUCAUUUUUCCACUCACUAAAGAACUCUCCAUCAAGCAUAGGCACUCUAUGUCUAAGACUCCCCAACAUAGACUCAUCCAUCUUCCUCCAAUGGUGAUUAAACCAAAGCAAUGGAGACCAAAGCUCUGAUACCAAUUGAAAGGAUCGAGAAGAGGUGUCUAGAGGGGGGUGAUUAGACCCUCAACAAACAAUGUUGACAAUUUUUAAGUUUUUUAAGUUGAGGUGGUAGAUUAACACAAUUUCAAGCAUACACAAUACAAUUCAAGCAAGCAUGCAAAGAGUAUAUGAGCAGCGCAAAGUAAAGCAUGCAACAUGCAAGAAAGUAAAGGGAUGGGAUUGGAGUGUGCAAACACAAUUGGAGACACAGAUAUUUUUGGCGUGGUUCCGAUAGGUGGUGCUAUCGUACAUCCAUGUUGAUGGAGACUUCAACCCACGGAGGGUAAUGGCUAUGCGAGUCCACGGAGGGAUCCACCCACGAAGGUUCCACGAAGAAGCAACCUUCUAUAUCCCAUCAUGGCCAUCGCACACGAAGGACUUGCCUCACUAGGGUAGAUCUUCACGAAGUAGGCGAUCUCCUUACCCUUACAAACUCCUUGGUUCAACUCCACAAUCUUGACAGAGGCUCCCAAGUGACACCUAACCAAUCUAGGAGACAGCACUCUCCAAAAGUAAUAGAUGGUGUGUUGUUGAUAAACUCCUUGCUCUUGUGCUUCAAAUGAUAGUCUCCCCAACACUCAACUCUCUCUCAUAGAUUUGGCUAUGGUGGAAAGAUUAUUUGAGUGCAAAGAAACUUGGGGAAGGCUAGAGAUCAAGAUUCAUAUGGUAGGAUUGGAAUAUCUUGGUCUCAACACAUGCGUAGGUGGUUCUCUUUCAAAAAAUGAGUAGUGCAAGUGUAGGUUUGUUCUAAUUCCCAAACUCGGUGGGACCGAAUCAACAAACUCGGUCAGACUGAUUUAGGUAAAAAUGUGAACGUUAGGAUUUUCGUUGGGACCGAUAUAGUCAUCUUGGUGAGACCGAUGUGCAGGGAUUAGGGUAAAACCUCCACUUGGUUUGACCGAUUACUCAAACUCGGUGUGACCGAUUUUGGUAAUAAGUAAACAGAGGAUUGGUCAAGCAAACUCGGUGGGACCAACUAAACGAACUCGGUUAGACCGAAAAUGUUGCAAUAGAUCACAGAGAGUUUGCAAGCCCAUCUAGGUGAGACCAAAAUCCCAUCGGUGAGACCAAAGUGACUAGGGUUUGGCAGUGGCUGAAUAUGAUGAAACUUGAUGGCGCCGGAUAGACAAAGUCAGUGGGGCCGAGUUUGAUUCUUAGGUUUAGGACAUAUGUGGAUGUGAGAAAGUGGCUGAGGGUUUUGGAGAAUAUCACUAAGCACUUUGAGAAAGCAAGUCAUUAAGCAACACCUCAUCCAGUCUUAAUAGUAUUGGCUUUCCUAUGGACUCAAUGUGAUCUUGAAUCACUAAAAUGGAAAAUGUAGAGUCUUGAGCUUUUGCCAAUAUUUGUCCUUAGCAUCUUGAAGGAGUUCCACAUCCUCUUGUCCAUGUCCAUGCCACUCCAAUGUUGAACUUAUCUGAAAUGCACUAGGCAGAAGUAUUAGUCCAACAAGAGAUAUGUUCUCAUGAAUUACCAAAAUCCCCGGGGAGCACUUGUGCUUUCAGAGGGGCUGAGGAAGAACUAGUACAUUGGAGAAUAGCCUCAGGAGGUGUGUUCUUGAGCUCAAGUGAGCUGGUGAGGUGGUGAGGGUGGAAUGGAUCCGGUCCCUCCUGUUGGUGGUGGCUAGGUCCUAUUUAUAGUGGCCUUGGUCCUCUUCCCAAAUGUAGGCGGGAAGGAAUCCCACAACGGCCAAAUUUGAAGGGAGACAACAAGUACGUCCUAUCCUGACUAAAGUGGUCUUUGCCUGCAAAAGACUCUGGUCGUGACGCUACGGUGAGCUCGAUGGUGACCUCCGUCCUGGCGUCCUGGCGGUCUUGGUCUUGUUGCACCAGAAUGGAAACCUUUGGUUGAUUCAUCGGGACUCUGCGCCUGCUGCUUGCAUCCUUUGCACCGAAGAGGAAACUAGUACUCUGCGCCCGCUGGCGCCCGCCUGGUCUUGGUCGUCAUGGCUCACUGUUGGUGUCAAAACUGGCUGAUCCCGGGUAAGGGGCCCCAAGCUAUAUGUCUCAGGACCAAUGCUAACUAUGGACAAAGGACACAGUGUUUACCCAGGUCCGGGCCCUCUUAGUGGAGAUAAAACCCUACUCCUACUUGAUUAUAUUCGAGGGUAUAGGAGUUACAAGAGUUGAUCUACCAUGAGAUCGAGUUGGCUAACCCUAGAUUAGCUAGCCGGGCAAUGUUGUGAUCCUGCCUUCGAUCUACCCAUCGGUUUAUAUUAACACCGGAGGGCCUUAGGGUUGUACAAAGUCAGUUUUACAGAAAGGAAUAAGAUAGCCGGACACCUAUACUUGCCAUGCACGCAUACGGGAGUCCCUACCGGACACGAGAGGUAAUCUUCUGUCUUGUAUAUUGACGGCCCAUCAGUCCAGCCCACAUCCAAUAGACCAGACGCCCAAGGACCCCAUAGUCCAGGACUCCCACAGUAGCCCCUGAACCAGUCUUCAAUGAUGAUGUAUUCGGCGUCUAGAUUGUCUUCGGCAUUGCAAGGCAGGUUCCUUGAAGAAUACACAUUAGCUUUCCUCUGUAAAGGAAUUGUAUCCGGCUUUUCAUAAUGAACACAACCCUUAGCCGCGAAGGUAGGAUAUAUAUAAAAUGAGAACAGUGUCUUUUACUGACAACUUUUUCGAUGAAAUGUCAGACUUGACCCUUUGACAUUUUGAACUAUUUUCCCACCCCGCGUUCCGUGUUUCAAGGCAACGCCUCAUUGGCAUGUCCUGUCAAAACAGAGAUCGUGCCCACCUAAUACGGGAUUGCUCAUCAAUAAUGUUUGGGUAAUCGAACCGUUUGUGGCGUACGCCUUCAUUGGGAAUAGGCGAGAUUCAAGGCACGAGUGGGGGCGGUUGGAAUUUUUACUGCCUAUAAGAAGGCAAUGGAUCCCUACUUUCUCCCCCCAUGCCUUCACAUCUCCUCAGCCUUCCAAUGUCCCAAGCUCUCUGCGCCCGCAAAGUUUCCGUCUUUCUCACCACCACGACCACCUCCUCUGACCAUGUCCAGAUCUGGUUCCAAAGGCAAGUGGGAGGCCUCCUCCGUCACGGAGAAGGAGAUAAAAGCUCGCCGGAGUGCGGGGUACCUCGCCGCCAACAUCACGCAUAGGCUUCCCACCGAAGGUCAAGUCAAUCCCACUCCGGAGCCCGGCGAACGAGUGGUUUUCCUUCCCCACUUCCUUACAGGAUUAGGUUUUCCACUCCACCCAUUCGUCUGUGGACUCAUGUUUAGAUUUCCAUGACCUAGCCCCGAACUCUUUCCUCCACAUCUCGGUGUUCAUCAUCGUGUGUGAGGCUCUCCUCCGCGUCCACCUACACUUUGGCCUAUGGCUCAAGGUCUUCAACGUGAAGUCGAAGGUGGUCGACGGCCACCACAUGGACUGCAGCGGAGCUAUGAUCAACAAGCUGCCAAACACCACAUGGCCCAAGGGGGCCUUUGUGGAGACCAUGAAGAUCUGGCAAAAGGAGUGGUUCUAUAUCACUGAGCCGCGCUGCACUAAGUGGGUGGCAAUUCCGGAGUUCAGAUCCGGACCCCCCAUGAGGCUCGUUUCCUGGAACGCGAAGGGCCACGACUAGGGGUCCCAGACGGAGGUGCAGGCGCUGCAAAUGCGCAUCACCAACGUGCUGGGGAAGAACGUUGGUCUAACCAACGUGGUUCUAAUAAUGCUCUUCCGCCGCAUUCUCCCCUGCCAGCGCUGGCCUUCCCCCAUGUGGGAAUUCAAGCCGGAGGAGCCGCAGACUCUACAACAUUUCCUCGGCGCCACGCAUGAGGGAAUGUGGAAGCUGCUCUUCGAGGCACAGAAGAGCUGGCCCAUGGAGACCGAAGACGUCAGCCUCAACAGCAUGAAUCCGACGUCUCCGGUAAGUAUUCGAUAUUUCUGAAGNNNNNNNNNNNNNNNNNNNNNNNNNNNNNNNNNNNNNNNNNNNNNNNNNNNNNNNNNNNNNNNNNNNNNNNNNNNNNNNNNNNNNNNNNNNNNNNNNNNNNNNNNNNNNNNNNNNNNNNNNNNNNNNNNNNNNNNNNNNNNNNNNNNNNNNNNNNNNNNNNNNNNNNNNNNNNNNNNNNNNNNNNNNNNNNNNNNNNNNNNNNNNNNNNNNNNNNNNNNNNNNNNNNNNNNNNNNNNNNNNNNNNNNNNNNNNNNNNNNNNNNNNNNNNNNNNNNNNNNNNNNNNNNNNNNNNNNNNNNNNNNNNNNNNNNNNNNNNNNNNNNNNNNNNNNNNNNNNNNNNNNNNNNNNNNNNNNNNNNNNNNNNNNNNNNNNNNNNNNNNNNNNNNNNNNNNNNNNNNNNNNNNNNNNNNNAUGUUCGAUCUAUACCAAACUCAUCAGCCCAUCUUUUUGUUACACGGCUGGACCAAGAAGUCAGAGCAGAUCAAGAGUCCAGCUCCGUUUCCUGAAGACCAAGUCACUCCUGCACUAGAGGAGAUGCUGGUCACGGCGCCUUACAAGGCUCCGGAGAAGAAGGCCAAGAAGAAAGGCAAGGGGCCCAAGGACGGUCCCUGCCGCAAAGGCCCUCCGAAAGCAGAGUCCAGAGAGACCGAAGCCGUCUCCUCCCAUGAGGAAGAUGAGGAUGAAGAGGAAGAGGAGGAGGAGGAGGAAGUGGAGAGCGACUCCCCCGUCAAGACGAGGAGGGGAAAAAGGACAGCCUCCGAGAACCUGGAGGGGGCGACCCCGAAAAAGGGGUGGGUGGUCCUCUCGGACAGAUCAUACUCAGAGUUCGAACACAGCCCGAAGAGGGUCCAAAGGGAGAAGCCCCUGGCCAAAACGUAAGUAUCAAAAACUUACCCGUUCAAUUAUCGCUUUAAUCUGCCUCUGUCAUAUCAAGUCUUUCUCUACUUUUCAGUCCUCCGCCCGAGAUCCCGAUUCCCUCCACUUCAGUUGGGAACUGUCUAGACCGUGGAGAGGCGGAGAGUGACGGGCCAUCUCGUGCCUUCUCCCCGUCUGCCAUGGAGGACACCGACGUGUCAUCUCAAAGGCCAUCUCUUGGCCGGGGAGGAGCGGACAAGACCAUCCAGAAGGCGCCUAGGGACAACACCUCGGACGCUGUAGAUCGAGGCACAUCGACCCCCAUGACCACCGAGGGUGGGGGGCUUCUACCGUCCGGGCCUCCGCCGAACACCGUCCCGGAGUCCAGCACGGCUCCAAGUUCGGACCAACACCCCCCUUUGAAAGAGGGGGGAGGAGCAGGAGCUCCGUCGGCGGCCUCUUUCAAUCCAGAGGCUGCAGACACUCUGCACGAAGUGCUGCAACGCGCUUCCAUUGUCGAGGAACACCGCACCCUGAUGGGUGCGGUUAUGGAAAAGGUUCGGUCCACAAAAAGCGGACUCACCAAAGUUUUCAACAGCCUACUGACAGGCAUCAAGGUAUGCGACGUAAUAUUCUCCACUAGUUUUUUUUCGUUGUGUAUAUAUAUGUGUGAGGCAAAACCCAUGUGUAGACAGUAGCCCCUGACACUCUGUCUGGAUUAGAACAAUCCGAACAGAGGAUCACAUACAAGUAUAUAUUGCACUGUAUAUGUUAUUUGACAGGCUUCUUGCUCCGUCUUGAGCUUGCAUUGGUUUUCCUUGAAGAGGAAAGGGUGAUGUAGCACAGUAGCUAAAUUAUUUCCCUCAGUUUUUGAGAACCAAGGUAUCAAUCCAGUAGGAGGCUCCUCAAAAGUCCCACGCACCUACACAAACAAACAAAGAACUCGCAACCGACGCGAUAAAGGGGUUGUCAAUCCCUUCACGGCCACUUGCAAAAGUGAGAUCUAAUAGAGAUAAAAUGAUAAGAUAAAUAUAUUCUUGGUAUUUUAUGAUAUAGAUUGGAAAAGUAAAGAUGCAAAUAAAAGUAGAUUGAAAGCUUAUAUGAUAAAAGAUAGACCCGGGGGCCAUAGGUUUCACUAGAGGCUUCUCUCAAGAUAGCAUAAGUAUUACGGUGGAUGAACAAAUUACUGUCGAGCAAUUGAUAGAAAAGCGAAUAAUUAUGAGAUUAUCUAGGCAUGAUCAUGUAUAUAGGCAUCACGUCCGCAACAAGUGGAACGACUCCUGCCUGCAUCUACUACUAUUACUCCACACAUCAACCGCUAUCCAGCAUGCAUCUAGAGUAUUAAGUUCAUAAGAACAGAGUAACGCUUUAAGAAAGAUGACAUGAUGUAGAGGGAUAAACUCAUGCAAUAUGAUAUAAACCCCAUCUUUUUAUCCUCGAUGGCAACAAUGCAAUACGUGCCUUGCAACCCCUAUUGUCACUGGGUAAGGACACCACAAGAUUGAACCCAAAGCUAAGCACUUCUCCCAUGGCAAGAAAGAUCAAUCUAGUAGGCCAAACCAAACCGAUAAUUCGAAGAGACUUGCAAAGAUAAGUCAAUCAUACAUAAAAGAAUUCAGAAGAGAUUCAAAUAUUUCUCAUAGAUAAACUUGAUCAUAAACCCACAAUUCAUCGGAUCUCGACAAACACACCGCAAAAAGAGUUACAUCUAUUAGAUCUUCACAAGAGAGGGGGGGAACAUGGUAUUGAGAUCCAAAAAGAGAGAACAAGCCAUCUAGCUAAUAACUAUGGACCCGAAGGUCUGUGGUAAACUACUCACAACUCAUUGGAAGGGCCAUGGUGUUGAUGUAGAAGCCCUCCAUGGUCGAUUCCCCCUCUAGCGGAGCGCCGGUGAAGGCUCCAAGAUGGGAUCUCGCGGAUACAUAAGGUUACAACGGUGGAAAUUGUGUUUCGGUUGCUCCAUGGAUGUUUUCGGGGUACGUGGGUAUAUAUAGGAGGAAGAAGUACGUCGGUGGCUGCCCGAGGGGCCCACAAGCUAGGGGGUGCGCCCUAUAGGGGUGGGCGCGCCCUCCACCCUCGUGGCCGCCUCGGCUGCUUCUUGGCAUGCACUCCAAGUCCUCUGGAUCACAUUUGUUCCAAAAAUCACGCUCCCGAAGGUUUCAUUCCGUUUGAACUCUGUUUGAUAUUCCUUUUCUUCGAAAUAAUAAAAUAGGCAAAAAAAUAGCAAUACGGGUUGGGCCUCCGGUUAGUAGGUUAGUCCCAAAAAUGAUACAAAUGUGUAAAAUAAAGCCCAUAAAUAUCCAAAACAGGUAAUAUAAUAGCAUGGAACAAUCAAAAAUUAUAGAUACGUUGGAGACGUAUCACUUCUAUCGUGGCGGCUACUCCUCAGGCCGCAGAAAUUGCCGAGCUCAAUCGGAAGCUUCGGCUAUCUGAUGAGGAACUCGACCGCAUCAACAAGCGAUUCAACGAAACCCAAGGUACGUGGUAUUAAGGCACAUUCGAAAAUUAUAUGUGUGUUAGUCUUCUUAAACUGACUAAAAAAAUUGAUAAAUAUACUCGCAGUUGGCGCAGCCGAGGUCGAGUCCCUCAGGAGCGCCCUGGCCGAAGCCAAGAAGGAGGCGGAGGUGCGCAAGGCGGCCACGGACAAAGCGACCAAGGAUUUGGAUGUGUACUCAAGCCACCCGCCGCAGACAUGAGGCGUGGGUGGGGGAGGUCGAACAGGAGCUCAAGGACGCCAUCGCCAAGUGCGAGUCCUUGGAGCAAAAGAGUUCAGAACAGGCCUCCGAGCUCACCAAAGCUCUUGAGAGCAUGAAGGAUGCCCGGGUUGAUGCCCAGGGCGCUCGCGAGGACAUCCAGGAGGCAAGGCAUAUUGCGGUUGGUAAGGCCUUUAUCAUGCAGAGUAGAUUUACUAGCAAGAGAUAUAUUUUACUGACCCAAGUUUGGAGUUCUCCAGGCGCCUUUGCGGAUCCACUGAGGAGUAUUGCGGAUGCCGCCGCAUUCUUCCGAGCCGAAUAGGGAGCUCAAUGGAGAAGUUGUUCUGGUCGCAAUACCUUGUGCCAUAAGUUCCAGUGCCCUUGAGUGACCAGCUGAAGCAGUUGUCCGAGCUGCACAGGGUGGCCGGACUGGCCAUGAAGGAUGUAAUAGUCCGUCUGUGGUGAGCCGAGGCCAUACCAAGCAGCCACUUCGGCCCCGUGAAGCGGCUGGUGGAAGAGCUUCCUCGGAUCGAUGCCCUCAAGCGGUCGCCCUGCCUUGAAGGUGCCCUGAUGGCCUUCGCCCGCGUCAAGGUGCAGUGGGCGAAGAUGAAGGCCACCGAGAUUGCCACAGUAGGGCCACCUGAAGGCAAGGAGCACUGGCGACCGGAGAGGUACUUUGACGAGGUCCUCGAAGGAGCCUGCAUUGUGGAGGGCCAGUGCUCAAAGGACGUCGUGUUUGAGUAGUUGAGUCUGGCUUGUAGAGUUGUGUAAUGAACUCAUGAUGUAUAAUAGUUAUGCUUACACUUUAUGAUUAGUUUAUCCUCCUAUUCUGUUGUUUAUAUGUCUGAAAGUAUACCAGUCGUCGGCUUCAGCCCCCACGUAAAUAUUAUAGGGGUGUUCGGAAACGCAUGAUCGCACUUUAUCCAACGUCUUCGUCCAAUGUAGGAGGCGGCUUCUGAGGUGAACUAGGUAAUCAGACUAUACGGCUUUAGUACUUUCACUUAGCCAUAAGAGUCCAUUGGUGGUGCUAAAUACUAGUCACUUGUUGCGUGAACGACAAUCCGGAGUACGGCGCCUUUGCAACGUGGCUGGUCGAAAGCCCAGCCCCUUGUAUAACACGGCAUAAAUUGCGAACGAUUUGUAGUAUAACUCUAAGUCACCGGACUGCUGACCCGCUCUCACCUAUCAUGACUGUCAGUUUUUGGCUUUCUCUACUGAGGUACUUAACCGGACGAACCAGAAAUACAAUCGCAGUAGUUCUCCCUUAUUACCUUAGCCGAACUUGCGGAACGUAAGGUGGCAAACACAGGAGCCGGGCAACCCAACUAUAUACCAAAGACAUGAUUCGGAGCCGAUGCAUGUAAUGCAAUAUCCGGGACGCCGAAGAGUUCCCUAUAGGUGUUCGGACUUAAGAAUUUUACGGGGCUGAAUACAGCCCCUGGUAUGAAGGCCGUGCCGAAUCACAUAUGUAAGUAGAACGUAAGGAAGAACACAGAUGACAAGGUAAUACCAGGAUCCAACCAAGAAGGUGAUAAUCAUCUGCUUCCUUUAUAUCUUUAUUGAUACGUCGAUGACAUACAAUGUUGUUCAAUGUUAAGGUCAGAUUACAUGCCCAAAGAGAAAAAGGAAAGGUUUUACAUAAGGGAAAGUCCAACACAGGGCCUAAGAUCAUAGUUCGAAAAAGAAACUCCAGUGAUGCCCUGCCGCACGUUUGCACCAUUUCCCUUAGUGAUUAGUCCUUUGAUAGGUGUGUUGAAUGGUUGGGAAACGCUAGCCUUAAAAGGAUCUCCUACAACAACCAUCUAUCUAGUAGGGCUCUUGAUGAACCUGUAGUAAGAGGAAAAAGAUAUAUGUGCGGUCCAGAUAGGGUCAAGUUGUACGAUAGACCUUUUCCGCAGUGUGCCUCCAGCGCCGCCCAAGGUAUUUUUAGUGCAUAGUUAUGUACGCGCAUUACGCAAGCCGCAACCUGGUAGGGCAAUCGGCAGAGGCUGAAAUGCUAGUCAAGGUCCAGAUCCGUUGAUUUAUUGCUAUUAGGCAUGCACCGGACUCAUUUGGAUACGUCGCUGGCUUUAUUGGCCAGUGAACUGUUCGGCUUGAUAAGGUCGCCAUAUACUUUGGCUGCAAGGGCCGCGGUGUGCUCUUCAGUAUGGAGUGAGCGUUCCAUAUUACCAUUGACUGUAAUAACACCACGAGGUCCAGGCAUUUUGAGAUUCAAGUAAGCAUGGUGCGGGACUGCAUUGAAGCGGGCGAAAGCGGUUCGUCCGAGCAGUGCGUGAUAGCCACUGCGGAAAGGGACGAUAUCGAAGACUAACUCCUCACUGCAAAAGUUGUCUGGGGAGCCGAAUACUCCUGGUAUCACACCUUUAAAGGUAGUGUUACUAGGCUUGAUUCUUGAUGGGUCAAUACCCAUCUUACGGACAGUAUCUUCAUAAAUCAAGUUGAGACUGCUCCUCCAUCCAUGAGGACUCUUGUGAGGUGGUAUCCAUCAAUAAUUGGAUCAAGAACCAGGGCGUCCGAACCCCCAUGACGGAUACUGGUUGGGUGAUCCCUGCGAUCAAAGGUGAUCGGACAGGCUGACCAUGGGUUAAACUUGGGGGUGACAUGCUCUAUAGCAUAGACGUCCCAUAGUGCGCGCUUGCGCUCCCUUUUGCGGACAUGAGUGACAUAUAUCAUGUUCACUGUCUUCACCUCGGGGGGAAACUGCUUCUGACCCCCGGUGUUUCACUGAAGGGGCUCGUCAUCGUCUUUGCUUGGAGGCCCUUUUCCUUUGUGUUCGGUAUUUAUUUUACCGGCAUGUUUGAAAACCCAACAAUUCCUAUUCGUGUGGUUCGCAGGCUUAUCAGGUGUGCCAUGAUUCUGACAGGGCCUCUGAGGAUUUGAUCAAAGCUGGAUGGCCCGUCCUUGUUGCCGUUGAAAGGUUUCUUCCACUAACCGGGCUUAGGACCGCUGAAUCCGGCAUUUACUGAUGUAUCGUCUGCGUCAUCACUGUUAUUGUUUCGAUGUUUGUUUUUAUUUCGGCGAGGUUUACCAUUGUCGUCCCUCACCUCAGAAGUGUCGGGGUCCCCCCGAGCUAUUGCUUCUACGAGCCAACCAGUUGUCUUCACCCGCAUAGAAGCGGGUCAUAAGUGCAGUUAGAGCUGCCAUGGUCUUGGCUUUUCCUGCCUAAGGUGUCGGGCGAGCCAUUCGUCACGAAUGCUGUGUUUGAAGGCCGCUAAGGCUUCGGCAUCCAAAUAGUCUACGAUCUGGUUCUUUUUGGUUAAGAACCGAUUCCAAAGCUUGCGAGCUGAUUCGCCUGGCUGGUGAAUUAUGUGGCUCAAGUCGUCAGCAUCUGGUGGCCGGACAUAAGUGCCCAGAAAAUUGGCCCGAAAAGCAUCUUCCAAGUCCUCCCAGGUUCCAAAGGAGUUUUCUGGGAGGCUGUUUAGCCAGUGUCGUGCUGGUCCUUUCAGCUUUAGAGGAAGACAUUUAAUGACAUGGAGAUCGUCUCCUCGAGCCAUGUGGAUGUGGAGAAGAAAAUCUUCAAUUCAAACGGUCGGAUCCGUCGUUCCAUCGUGCUGUUCGAAAUUUACGGGUUUAAACCCUUCUGGAAAUUGGUGUUCCAUGACCUCAUCAGUGAAGCAUAAAGGGUGUGCGGUCCCUCUAUAUCAUGCAAUAUCAUGGCGGAGAUCAGCUGACAUCUGAGUUCGGUUCUGAUCUCGAUUAUAGUAAUUGUCAUCAUGCCGGGCUUCAUAGCAGUUGUCUCGAGCCGGGGCACGGGCCCUUGAUCCGUAGAUUGAUCUAGUCUGACCAGCUUUAUUGACAAGGUCACGUUGCAAGUCAUAUGUGUAUCCCGCAGCUGUUGUCUCCCAGCCUCUUCGGCGAGGGGGUGCAGGUUGGUGUUCGGCUUGAUAUGCCGCUUUAUCCCGUCCAUGUGGUGGUCGGUCUGGUUGGUCUGCCUGAUUGUAUUUCGAUGGUAUUGGCUCAAGGGCUUCGUCGUCGAAUUGUGGUAGCAGCUUGCACUUAGGGUAAACUUUGGCAGGUCGUUCGCGGCUGUAUUCAUCAGCGGUCAGGACCUUAGUCCACCUUUCAUUAAGUGUAUCCUGCUCGGCUUUGAGCUCCGUUGUUUGUUUUUCGGGCUCCAAGCUGUGGCGAUGAGCUAUUACUUAAUGUGUUCUUGAUCGAGGGGUACCUCUGGGACGAUAAAAUCUUCAUCGCCGAGGCUAACCUCCUCUUCGGUUUCUGGAAUAUAGUUGCUAUCUUCCGAAUCUUCGUGAUUAGCGUUCCCCAUACUAUAUUCACACUCUUCCCUUUUUGUCCAGUUCGGAUAUAGGCUCGACGGGGUGUUCAUGUCACGCCCAAUAUGUGACCCUAUCCUAAAGGAACUCGAAGGUCCCACCAAGGAUAGAAGUGCAUAUUGGAGACGCUUUGGCAAGGUGGAUAUUAUUACAUCAUGCCAUUACAUAAUAGUUGGGGAUACAUACAAGAGGCAUACAAUGCCACAUGAAUACAACAACCUCGUACAUAAGAGUAACAUCCGACUACGGAUGAAACACAAACAGAAACUCAAACAACAUCCACCCUGCUAGCCUAGGCUGCCGACCUGGAACCUAUCCCCUGAUCGAAGAAGAAGCAGAAGACAAAACUCCAAACAAACAAGCACUGCUCUCACAUCAUGAUCAUCGCAUUACAUGUACCUGCAACUGUUGUUAUAGUAAAUUGUGAGCUACGAGGACUCAGCAAUCCUGUUACCAUGGGUAUCAAGACUAGCAAAGCUUAAUAGGUAUGGAAAGAACAAGUGGUGAGGUUGCAGCAAUGACUAAGCAUGAUAUAGUGGCUAACUUACGAAUACAAGAAUAAGAUGAGAAGCUACGCAAACGGUCGCAACUAGUAAUGAUCAAGAAGUGAUCCUGAAACUACUUACAUCCAAACAUAACCCAAACCGUGUUCAUUUCCCGGACUCCGCCGAGCAGAGACCAUCACGGCUACACACGCGGUUGAUGCGUUUUAAUUAAGUCAAGUGUCAAGUUCUCUACAACGGGAUAUCAACAAAUUCCCAUCUGCCACAUAACUGCGUGCACGGGUCUCGAAAGUUUAUACCUUGCAGGGGUGUCCCAACUUAGCCCAUUAUAAGCUCUCAUGACCAAUGAAGGAUAUUCCUUCUCCCGGGAAGACCCGGUCAGCCUCGGAAUCCCGGUUACAAGACGUUUCGGCAAUGGUAAAACAAGACCAACAAGACCUCCCGAUGUGCCAACAAAUCCCAAUAGGAGCCAGACAUAUCUCGUUCUCAGGGCACCACAGAUGAGUGAAGCUACGAGUAAAACCAGCCCUCAAGUUUCCCUGAGGUGGCUCCGCAGGUGGCUCGGUUCAGACCAACACUUAGAGAAGCACUGGCCUGGGGGGUUAAAAUAAAGAUGACGCUUGGGGCUGUUUACCCCAAGGGAGGGUUAUAGGUUGUUAGGCAAAUGGAAAACCAAUGUAGGGCCUUGCUGCAGGAGUUUUAUUGAAAUCGAACUGUCAAGGGGUUCCCAUAAACCCAGCCGCGCAAGUAACGCAAAAUCAAGGAACAUAACACCGGUAUGACGAAAACUAAGGCGGCAAGAGUGGAACAUAACACCAGGCAAAAGGCCAAGCUUUUCACCCUUUACCAAGUAUAUAGAUGCAUUAAUUAAAAUAAGAGAUAUUGUGAUAUCCCAACAUAAUCUCGUUCCAACAUGGAGCAAUCUUCAACUUCACCUACAACUAACAACGCUAUAAGAGGGGCUGAGCAAAAGCGGUAACUUGGCCAAACAACGGUUUGCUAGGAAGGGUGAAAAGGUUAGAGGCUGACAUGGCAAUUUGGGAGGCUUGAUAAACAAGUGAUAGGUAGCAUAGCAUAGCGAUAGAACGAAGCAACUAGCAUAGCAAUGAUAGUAGUGAGAUCCAGGGUAACGGUCAUUUUGCCUGAAAUCGCGCUAGGAAGAAGAACGAGUCUAUGAAUAAGACGAACGGGCGAAGACGAACCAAGCUUAGACGAACGAAUCUUCGCGAUCGCAACGAAACAGGAACUAUCAAGAAGAAGCACAACCGGAAAUAAGCAAACAAUAUGGUAAACACACAACACAUAAACAUGACAUGAUGCUCAACCAAGUAUGAUGCAUGACAAGGCUAUAUGAUGCUACUCAUGGCAAGAGAUGAUGCAUACAAGAACAACACAUCAAAGCAAGAUUAAAUGAGACCUGAAACAACAUAUAACAAAUCCGGUAAGUCCUCAUAUGCUAAUUCCGAAAAUGGUCCAGAUUUGAAUAAACCUUAUGUUCAAGUUGUUAAACAGCAAUUUAAGAUGCACCAAGAAGAUCAUCAUGAAAUUCUAGUCAAGUUACGUAUAAAGUUCAUUUAGUUCAGAGCUACGGCCUAGAAGAUAUGAGCAAAACAAGUUAAACAUGGCAUUGAUGCAAAAUGCAUUCAAACAUCAAGCAAACACUCUGAAAACAAGGAUUCAACAUGACAUGACAAAACUAUAUGCAAUUCUAAGCAAGUUUCAUAUAGAGCAUGCUCAAAACGGAGCAACGGUGCAACACAUACACUCCAAACAAGAUCUAACAACAAUCUGCCUAAAACAACAAGUUGACACUUUACAAACUUCAAAACAACAUGCUACAGGAAUCAUAAGAGAACAAACUUGACAAGCACUUCAUUUACAGAUAACAUUCUUCAAAUAUCAUUCAAGUUCAGGUUUAAAGGCAUCAAUAUUAAACCAAUAUGAUCAAUGCAAAAAGCAACUUUAUAACACAGGAGCAUAUACAUGACGAGAUAUAAUAUGAUGGCAACUUGAGAGCAAGAAAGAGACAAAUUACAGCAAGUAAACAUAGCAACCAAAGGCAUUGCAUCAAAGUGUACACAACAAAUAGAAAAUAACAUGAUGGCAUCAUAUAAAUAUGGCACAUGGAUUAAAAGUAACCAACAUGACAAGAUUGAAUGUUAACACAGUUUCAGCAAGUGUAAAACAACAACAUUAUGAUAGCAUGUUUGCAAGCAUGAAACAGAGGCAUAUGACAUCCAAAAUUAGCAAAUAUGGCAUCUGAACAAAGUAAUCAUAGCAUACUUCAAAACAUCUAAUUGGAGCAUCUAAAAAGAGGCACGGAUUAAUUAAUAUCAAGCUCACAACAUAGCAUCAUGAAGUUAACAGAAAUCUAGAACAUUAUAUAGGCAUGUUCAUGGCAACGGAAACAUGUGCUAAAGAACAUAUAUAAGGCAUCAAAAGGCAUGCAAAUAUAGAGCAUAACAUGUACAUCAAAACAUGUCAACUAAGCAUCUCCAGAUUGUGCAUGUAUUAAUUGGUAGCAUCAAGAAACAUCGUGAUAUUACAGAUUCAGCAUUGACAGAACAUUAAUAGCCAGUAGUCCACUUCACAAGCUUGAUGCACUCACUACAAGUAAUAUCAAAAUAAUGAUUACACCACCAUAAGUAUGGCAUAAUUAUGCUCCUAAAACAUGUAGAUAUGAUGCUCAAAAGAAAAUCACACAAAAUGAUAUAAAAAUGACUAGGCAAGAUACAACAGUUUUCAGGAGUUAACAGCAACAUGCACGUUUGCAACAGGUAUUCAGAUAUCAAGAUGUACCCUAACAUGAAUGCAACAGCAACCAACAUGUAGAUAAUGAAGAGCAGAAUAUGUGCAUGUUAAGAUCAUCAUCAUAGGAUCAACAGGCACAAUGUUAUAGCACUCACAAGACUCAUACAUGAUGUUAACAAUUAGCAGAUUCCAUCAGUUAUAUUACUCAGUAGUUUUUCAACGAGGAUUAAGGUAUCAAUAUGAACAGGAACAUGAAUGCAAACUACUCCAUCAUGAAGAGCAUCAAGUGAUGAAAAUUUCGAUAUAUCAUGCACCCAAAACAGAGCUAUAUGCAUGAAGUUAUGGUCAUGCAAACAUGUGCACAUGAGGUUUAAAAUCCUCGGACUUGGUGGAAAUUUCACCUUGUGGGAUCGGGACGGAGAGAUCCCGCGACGGAGCGGAGCGGGACGGGGAAGAGCGUUUGGUUGGGGGGCUAGUGGAUCUCAUCCACCUCCCAUCACCCGGCGCUGGCGAGGACUCUGGUGAGCACCUCCGGCGAGGGUCGAGGAAAACCGGAGGAGGCCUGAUCCGACGGCUCCUAGCCGGAUCGGGCCGUAGGCGACACGGUGGCGGCAUGGGAUGGAGGCAAGGCACAGCGUGGGGCGGUGCAGGGCUCACGCCUGUGAACGGCGCGGCUGGCGGCUUCGGGCGCGGGGCGGCGAUGCAGGGCCGGGCAGUGCAGUGGCGCACCAGUAGCGGAGCGGGCUGGCGGCGGUGGUGCGAAGGCGGCGGCGGCGGGCGCUGGACGGGAGGCGUGGCUCGNNNNNNNNNNNNNNNNNNNNNNNNNNNNNNNNNNNNNNNNNNNNNNNNNNNNNNNNNNNNNNNNNNNNNNNNNNNNNNNNNNNNNNNNNNNNNNNNNNNNNNNNNNNNNNNNNNNNNNNNNNNNNNNNNNNNNNNNNNNNNNNNNNNNNNNNNNNNNNNNNNNNNNNNNNNNNNNNNNNNNNNNNNNNNNNNNNNNNNNNNNNNNNNNNNNNNNNNNNNNNNNNNNNNNNNNNNNNNNNNNNNNNNNNNNNNNNNNNNNNCCAAUUGCGGCCCGUGGCGGGCUCCCCAUGGGUUCGCAGACCACGGCGGCGGGAAGGAGAGAGAGGAGGCGCGGGGCUGACGUGGCGGGACGCGGUUGGCUGCGGGCAUGGCGGCGGACAUGUCUGGCGGCGGGGAGACUUGUUCAGUGGCGCGGAGGGGAAGAAGACUAGGGUUUCGCCCGAAAAAUGGAGAGAGGGCACUUAUUUAUAGGUAGAGGGAGCUAGGAGAGUCCAAAUGAGGUGCGUUUUUUGCUCACACGAUCGUGAUCCAACGACGGAGAGCAUGAAGGGGGUUUGGAUGGGCUAGUGGGCUGUUGUGGAGGGGUGCUGGGCUGCAAAGAGAGAGGGGUUUUGGUUAACUCGGUUAACCGUUGGGGCAUCAAACGACCUCCAAAUGGAAUGAAAUUUGACAGGCGACCUACCGGUGAUAUACCAAUGCCACUCGGCAAAUCUCGGCCCAUUCCGAGAAUGUUUUUCUCCCGCUCACGAAACAAGAUAAGAGGGGGGCUGUGGGUGCAUGUGGGAGUGUCGGGUGACAAAACGGACAAAGGAGAAAGACACCGGAUGCAAGUUUUGAAAAACAUGCAGAUGAUGACAUGGCAAGAUGCAACAUGCAAGCGAGUGACAUGGCAACAACUACGAAUAACUAGAAGACACCUAGCGCAUCGGAUCUAGGGGCGUUACAACUCUCCUCCAGUAACAAGAGAUCUCGUCCCGAGAUCUUAGGAACGAGAUGGAAGAGAAAGAGGAAGAGGUGAAGUAAGAACGCAAGAGAGAAGAUGAACAAAGUUCGAGAGUGUUCGGGUAGAAAAGAGGAAUGCCGAGUAUGAUGAGGAUCAAAAGCUCAAUAACCAAGAUAGACUCUGAAACCACUCCGGUUAGAAUAAGAUAGGAAAGGAAUAAGAACAUAAGAAUUUGGGCAGCACUUCAACUGGAAAUAUAAGGAAUGGAGACAAGAACUUCACAAGAUGGAAUGACACUUGAUGAGAGCCACAACACAAUGCCUCUCGAAGAAUUGAAAUAAUGGAAUGAAAAGAAUGGUUGAAAGAACAACAACUUUCACCAUUAAUGAAUUUGAUAGCAUCCUUAGAGGAAGGGUUGAACGGAGUUGUUGAGGUAUUCAACAACAAAAGAAUAAGCUUGUUGUGGACUUAUCAAAAACAACUCAAAACAUGAGGUGAAAUUAUACCACAACCAAAAGUCUGAAUAGCUGAGAGGAACGAAGAAAUCCAAAACUCCACUUCAGAAGAAAAUGGAGUAUUAUUUGCACUUCCAGACGCGAGAAGAAAAGAUAAUUGAACUCCUCCAACAAAAUUCUUGAUGAACUCUUGAAGAAUGAAUUAAAUCAUGAAGAACUCCAGUGACAAAAGGAUGAUGAGAUAGAAUAAAGGAUGAAAGAAUAAGAUCAAGCCUUGCAGUGAUUUAGAUGGAGGUUCCGACGGGACAUCCGAGGAAAUUUGAACUCCGGAAAAGAGAAGAUGAAAACACUUGGAACUAGAAUUUAUUCAUCACGAACAAACUCCGAAGGAUGGAAUUAAUCAUUUGGAGGAAAUAAGAAUAAGAUUUAUUCUAUGCUUAUCCUUCAUCAAAUUAAAUUGAUGGCAAGCAAUGGAUUUUUCAUACUACUUAUUCUUAUUGGAAAAGGAUUAAGGCGGAUAUAGCACAACCUUGAGGAAGGCCUUCAAUGAACCACUGGUAGGAUUGGAAAGAACAAAUGGAUUAAAAUGAUAAUCAAGGAAAAAGAAUCUUCAACGAACCACCGUAAGAAUUCGAAAAUGAAUGAUGAAAGAGAAUGAAUCACCGGGAAGAAUUAGAAGACCAAAUAUGCUUUGAGGGGAUUUAGAUGCAAAAGAACAAAGAGAUAACAAGCUGAUUAAAGAAUACUUCACAGAUGUGCUGGGAUAAUUGGAUAACGAUAGAUGGAAUGUGAGGACGAAGAAUUCUUCUGGAAUGAUGGCCUCCAGUGAAAAGAAAUAGAAAAACAACUCCUGACAUACUCCGGAUGGAUAAGAAAGAAUAACUGACAAAAGGAAUAAUUCAAGAGGAUAGCAUGAAAAUAGAAUUGCGAAUCUUCGGGAGAACGGAUAAGAUUUAAGAGAAACUCAUCUUCGAUCUUCAAAUAACAAUGAGAAACACCACCAAAAUUACUGAGAUACUCCGGAGAAUGAAAAGAGGAAGGGUUGAACCAAAGAUGAAAAGAAUUUGACCGCGAUCAGGAGAAGGCAUGUGACUGAUGGAAUCCAUUGUUACAUCACACUCGAAAAGAAUUAGGAAUGGCUCCGGAAUAGUUAGAAGAGUCGGGUAAGAUCCUGGGAAAAAACCCGUGGGUUAGGGCCCACUGAAGAGAAAACACCAUUGGAGAGGAUUGUUGAAGAGAUAUAUGAUGCACCGGAACAAUAGAAAUAUUUGAAUGAGGUGAUAAUCUCAAAUUUAUUCGAACACAUACGAAUCUCCUGAGAUGUCUUACAAACUCCAAAAUGCUUAAAUGGCGAGAGGCGAACGAGCAAGGGCAAAACAUUUGAGCCAAGGAAAAGAAUAUGAUCAACACCAAAUACUUGCAUUGAGUCCACCGGAAAAGAAAGAGAUGAAGAAUGAUGAACUAUACAAGAAAUCAGCGGUUGAAACAAUUGACGAUAGUCUGAAGAGGCUCCACAUGAAUGAAAUUGAUGCUCGAAAUAGACUCAUGCUCCAGGAAGAAGAGGGUGNNNNNNNNNNNNNNNNNNNNNNNNNNNNNNNNNNNNNNNNNNNNNNNNNNNNNNNNNNNNNNNNNNNNNNNNNNNNNNNNNNNNNNNNNNNNNNNNNNNNNNNNNNNNNNNNNNNNNNNNNNNNNNNNNNNNNNNNNNNNNNNNNNNNNNNNNNNNNNNNNNNNNNNNNNNNNNNNNNNNNNNNNNNNNNNNNNNNNNNNNNNNNNNNNNNNNNNNNNNNNNNNNNNNNNNNNNNNNNNNNNNNNNNNNNNNNNNNNNNNNNNNNNNNNNNNNNNNNNNNNNNNNNNNNNNNNNNNNNNNNNNNNNNNNNNNNNNNNNNNNNNNNNNNNNNNNNNNNNNNNNNNNNNNNNNNNNNNNNNNNNNNNNNNNNNNNNNNNNNNNNNNNNNNNNNNACAAAGGUAAGUUGGAAGGAGGGACCGAUGAAUAACUUGAAGAGAAAACACCGGUUGAAAGAAUGCAAAGGCUUCGCACAAGUAGGAUGGGUACUCGAUUACGGACUCCGGCUCCGAGAAGAAAAAGGGUGGGCGGGUGGGAAAAGAAAACAAAUGAGGAUUGAUCUUGCAAAAAAACAAAGAGGGUCGAAUCGACUUGAUGAGAGACGCACCGGAUGAAAAGACCUGAGAACCAACGAACGAAAAACUAACUGCGUGAUCCUAAACAAAAAUUUAAAGGGAAGAGGAGUAAGUCACAACAACUACAUCAAGAUUCCUCACCAGAGCGACGAAGGGGCCGAGGAGUAAAAAGAAUUCCUACUCUCCGAUAUAACUAGACUCCAAAAACAGUUUUCUUCUAGACUCGAUAACGGCCAAACUACGAACAAUCAAGGGGGCUCCUAUGGUCGGUCGAGGCUCUGAUACCAACUUGUCAUGCCCAAUAUGCAACCCUAUCCUAAAGGAACUCGAAGGUCCCACCAAGGAUAGAAGCACAUAUUGGAGACACUUUUGCAAGGUGGAUAUCAUUAAAUUGUACCAUUACAUAAUAGUUGGGGAUACAUACAAGAGGCAUACAAUGCCACAUGAAUACAACAACCUCAUACAUCAGAGUAACAUCCGACUACGGAUGAAACACAAACAGAAACUCAAACGACAUUCACCCUACUAGCCCAGGCUGCCGACCUAGAACCUAUCCCCUGAUCAAAGAAGAAGUAGAAGAAGAAAAUCCAAACAAACAAGCAUCGCUCUCACGUCAUGAUCAUCGCAUUACCUGUACCUGCAACUGUUGUUGUAGUAAACUGUGAGCCACGAGGACUCAGCAAUCCCAUUACCAUGGGUAUCAAGACUAGCAAAGCUUAAUAGGUAUGGAAAGGACAAGUGGUGAGGUUGUAGCAGUGACUAAGCAUGAUAUGGUGGCUAACUUACGAAUACAAGAAUAAGAUGAGAAGCUACGCAAACGGUCGCAACUAGUAAUGAUCAAGAAGUGAUCCUAAAACUACUUACGUCCAAACAUAACCCAAACCGUGUUCACUUCCCGGACUCCGCCCAGAAGAGACCAUCACGGCUACACACGUGGUUGAUGUGUUUUAAUUAAGUCAAGUGUCAAGUUCUCUACAACGAGAUAUCAACAAAUUCCGAUCUGCCACAUAACUGCGGGCACGGCUCUCAAAAGUUUAUACCCUGUAGGGGUGUCCCAACUUAGCCCAUUAUAAGCUCUCACGACCAAUGAAGGAUAUUCCUUCUCCCGGGAAGACCUGAUCAGCCUCGAAAUCCCAGUUACAAGACAUUUCGGCAAUGGUAAAACAAGACCAGCAAGACCUCCUGGUGUGCCGACAAAUCCCGAUAGGAUCCGGACGUAUCUUGUUCUGAGGGCACCACAGAUGAGUCAAGCUACGAGUAAAACUAGCCCUCAAGUUCCCCCGAUGUGGCCCCGCAGGUUGCUUGGUUCAGACGAACACUUAGAGAAGCACUGGCCUGGGGGGUUAAAAUAAAGAUGACCCUCGGGGCUGCAGACCCCAAGGGAGGGUUAUAGGUUGUUAGGCAAAUGGAAAACCAAUGUAGGGCCUUGCUGGAGGAGUUUUAUUCAAAUCGAACAGUCAAGGGGUUCCCAUAAACCCAGCGGCGUAAGGAACACAAAAUCAAGGAACAUAACACUGGUAUGACGGAAACUAAGGCGGCAAGAGUGGAACAAAACACCAGGCAAAAGGCCGAGCUUUCCACCCUUUACCAAGUAUAUAGAUGCAUUAAUUAAAAUAAGAGAUAUUGUGAUAUCCCAACAUAAUCUUGUUCCAACAUGGAGCAAUCUUCAACUUCACCUGCAACUAACAACGCUAUAAGAGAGGCUGAGCAAAAGCAGUAACUUGGCCAAACAACGGUUUGCUAGGAAGGGUGAAAAGGUUAGAGGCUCACAUGGAAAUUUGGGAGGCUUGAUAAACAAGUGAUAGGUAGCACAGCAUAGCGAUAGAACGAAGCAACUAGCAUAGCAAUGAUAGUAGUGCGAUCCAGGAUAACGGUCAUCUUGCUUGAAAUUCCGCUAGGAAGAAGAACGAGUCCAUGAAGAAGAUGAACCAAGCGUAGACGAACGAAUCCUCAUGAUCGCAACGAAACAGGAACUAUCAUGAAGAAGCACAACCGGAAAGAAGCAAACAAUAUGGUAAACACACAACACAUAAACAUGACAUGAUGCUCAACCAAGUAUGAUGCAUGACAAGGCUAUAUGAUGCUACUCAUGGCAAGAGAUGAUGCAUACAAGAACAACACAUCAAAGCAAGAUUAAAUGAGGUCGGAAACAACAUAUAACAAAUCCGGUAAGUCCUCAUAUGCUAAUUUCGAAAAUGGUCCAGAUCUGAAUAAACCUUAUGUUCAAGUUGUUAAAUAGCAAGUUAAGAUGCACCAAGAAGAUCUACAUGAAAUUCUUGUCAAGUUACAUAUAAUGUUCAUUUAGUUCGAGCUACAGCCUAGAAGAUAUGAGCAAAACAAGUUAAACGUGGCAUUGAUGCAAAAUGCAUUCAAACAUCAAGCAAUCACUCUCAAAACAAGGAUUCAACAUGACAUGGUGAAACUACAUGCACUUCUAAGCAAGUUUCAUAUCGAGCAUGCUUACAACGGAGCAACGGUGCAACACAUACACUCCAAACAAGAUCUAACAACAAUCUACCCAAAACAGCAAGUUGGCACUUUACAAACAUCAAAACAACAUGCUACAGGAAUCAUAAGAGCACAAACUUGACAAGCACUUCAUUUACAGAUAACAUUCUUCAAAUAUCAUUCAGGUUCAAUUUCAAAGGCAUCAAGAUUACACCAAUAUGAUCAAUGCAAAAAGCAACUUUAUAACAUUGGAGCAUAUACAUGAGCAGAGAUAAUAUGAUGGCAACUUGGGAGCAAGAAAGAGACAAGCUACAACAAGUAAACAUAGCAACCAAAGAAAUUGCAUCAAAUUACACACAACAAAGAGAAAAUAACAUCAUGUCAUCAUAUACAUAUGGCCCAUGGAUUAAUAGGAACCAACAUGACAAGAUUGAAUUGUAAAACAGUUUCAGCGAGUGUAAAACAGCAACAUUAUGGUAGCAUGUUUGCAAAUAGAGGCAUAUGACAUCCAAAAUUAGCAAACAUGGCAUGUGAAUAAAGUACUCAUAGCAUACUUAAAAAUAUGUAGUUGGAGAAUCUCCAAAAGGGGCACGGAUUAAUUAAUAUCAAGCUACAUAGCAUUAUGAAGUUAACAGAAAUCUGGAACAUUAUAUAGGCAUGUUCAUGGCAACGCAAACAUGUGCUAAAAACAUAUAUAAGGCAUCAAAAGACAUGGCAUUAUAGAGCAUAACAUGUACAUCAAAACAUGUCAACUAAGAAUCUCCAGAUUGUGCAUGGAUUAAUUGGUAGCAUCAAGAAAACAUAGCAUCAUGAUAUUGCAGAUUAAGCAUUGACAGAACAUUCCAGCCAGUAGCCCACUUCACAAGCUUGAUUCACUCACUACAGGGCAUAUCAAAAUAUAUGAAUUGCACCACCUUAAAGAUGGUGUAAUUAUGAUCUUAAAACAUGUAGACAUAAUGCUCAAAAGAAAAUCACACUAAAAGAUAUAAAAAUGACAAAUAGGCAAGUUACAGCGGUUUUCAGCAGUUAACAGCAACAUGCACUUUUGCAACGGGGAUUAAUAUAUCAAUAUGCACCCUAACAUGAAUGCAACAGCAACCAACAUGUAGAUCAUGAAAAGCAGAACAUGUGCAUGUCCAGAUCAUCAUCUUAGGAUUAACAGGGACCAAGUUGUAGCACUCACAAGAUGCUUACAUGAUGUUAACAGUCAGCAGAUUCCAGCAGUUAUAUUACUUAUAGUUUUUCAAUGAGGAUUAAGGCAUCAAUAUGAACAGGAACUGGAAAGCAAACUACUCCAUCAUGAAGAGCAUCAAGUGAUGAACAUGUCGAUAUAUCAUGCAUGCAAAACAGAGCUAUAUGCAUGAAGUUAUGGUCAUGCAAAAAUGUGCACAUGAGGUUUAAAAUCCUGGGGACUUGGUGGAAAUUUCACCUCGCUGGAUCGGGAUGGAGAGAUCCCGGGACGGAGCGGAGCGGGACGAGGAAGUGCAUUUGGUUGGGAGGGGGGUUGGUGGAUCUCAUCCACCUCCCCUGACCCGGCACCGGCGAGGACUCCGGUGAGCACCUCCUGCGAGAAGGAGGCUGACGAGGGUCGAGGAAGAUCGGAGGAGGCCGGAUCCGGCAGCUCCUGGCCAUAUCGGGCCAGAGGCGACAAGGUGGCGGCAAUAGCACGCGGCGGAGCUUGGUGGCGCAGGACGGAGGUGAGGCGCAGCGCGGGGCGGCGCAGGGCUGGCGGCUGCGAAUGGUGUGGCUGGCAGCUUCAGGCGUGGGGUGGUGAUGCGGGGCCGGGCAGCGCGAUGGCGCAUCGGUGGCGGGGCGGGCUGGCGGCGGUGGCACGAAGGCGGCGGCGGCGGGCGCUAGACGGGAGGCGCGGCUCGGGAGGCGCGUAGGCUGGCGAGGCCGAGUUGCGGCACGGGGCGGGCUCCUCGUGGGCAUAACUGUCGACCUGCUAGAGAUAGCCGACCGAGUUGGCAUGAAGCACAAAGCCGCCAAACACAAAGACCUGUCUGGAGAGAAACGUUUCCCUGGACGCAGCAUUAUUGUCGAUGAAGAGGCGAGCCAUCGGUCCUUCUGUCGAUGAUAUAGCGGAACUCUCAAUGAAAGCACCAAUGUCGGUGUCAAAACCGGCUGACCUCGGGUAGUGGGGGGGGCAAGCUGUAUGUCUGAGGACCACUGGUAACUAUGGACAAAGGACACAGUGUUUACCCAGGUUCAGGCCCUCUUAAUGGAGGUAAAACCCUACUCCUACUUGAUUAUAUUCGAGUGUAUAGGGGUUACAAGAGUUGAUCUACCACAAGAUCGAGUUGUCUAACCCUAGAUUAGCUAGCCUAGCAAUGUUGUGAUCCUGCCUCCGAUCUACCCACCAGUUUAUAUAGACACCGAAGGGGCUUAGUGUUGUACAAAGUUGGUUUUACAGAAAGGAAUAAGAUAGCCGGACACCUAUACUUGCCAUCCACGCAUAGGGAGUCCCUACCGGACACGAGAGGUAAUCUUCUGUCUUGUAUCUUGACGGCCCAUCAGUCCGGCCCACGUCCAAUAGACCGGACGCCCGAGGACCCCAUAGUCCAGGACUUUCACACUCACGUCACCCGAACCUCGCGAGGUAAGCCUUGCAUAGAAAUCUCCGCUCCUCGGGAGCCAGCCUGAGGGGGUCGAUCCCCUUGGAGGUCUUGGUGUCGUCCGCCUUGUGAGGCAUGGCCCCUCGUGGGGGUCUUGAGUUGUUGAUGCCGAAACUGGCCCGUACCAGGCUGUCAAUGGAGCCACGCCGUGGGCCGCAGGCAUGCAAUUCUGGGUACCCCCGUAUCCAGAACGCCGACAGUAGCCCCUGGGCCCAAGGCGCGCUCGGACUUGGCUUCUGGGUGAAGCCAAAGGGCAAGUGCGGAGCGCCGCGGGCCCCAACCACGUGCGGCCUUGGACGAUGCGGUGAUUGAUGGGACAUGGGCGUCUCCACUUCCCCACACUACCUCAACAACCGUUCAACUUGAUGAGUCGAUGUUGCAUGCGGAGAAAACAUCAUUGUGCGAGAUCAUGGAGGCCGGCGGUUAGCCUCCCUCUGGCAAUAAAUGAGGGGAGGGGCGGAGCCCCCUCUCUCAUCUCUUUCGUCAUCUUCUCGCUGCUCGUCUCCUCUUCUUCUCCACUUUGUCGUAGUUGCGAGGCUCAUGGCGCCGGCGAGGAGGUUCUCGAUUGCUGAGAAAGGGAAGGCCCCUAAGGCGGGACCAGCUUUGCCACCACCCAAGAGGGGUCGCGGCCGUCCCCGCAAGCACGCCGCGACCCCGAUGGCAGGCCCCAAGGGGGCGCGGGUGCGCUUCUCCAGGAGCCAGCGUCUCCCUUAGCGUCCGCGGUGGUGCUUCUUCUCGCGGUGGGGGCCACUGGGCACGGGGCAGCCCCUGCGACAAGAGGAGGCCCGCUAUGGUCGCUCGCCCUCCUCGACCAUGCUUCUUCUUGAUGGAUGCGCUCCCGGAGUUCAUGGUGUGAUCGGAGAGGCCCGCCGGCACCUUGUUCUGGAUUCCGUGCUUCUUCGCCGGCGAGUUGCCGACCUAGGGGCUCGACGGCCUCUGGCUGCAGGCCGACGCUUGCUGCAGCAGGGCCUUGUGGGUAGGGAUCGAGGUCACUGCUGCGGGCAGCUUGGUCCUGACCUAUGGCUGGCUGGCGUUUGCCAGCGCAUAAGGCCUGAGCUGGGGGUGCUCUCUCCACUUCAAGUACGAUGGCCUUGCAACCCUCUUCGUGAGGGUGUUUAGGGGAGACAGCAGCGGGGCCGAUGAGCUUGGCCUUGACAUCGACCGCGCCGGCGACAAGGUGAGCUUGGCCUUGACGAUGUCCACACUUCCUCCCAUAGCUGCAGCUCUUCCUCGGGCGAGAAGUUAAGCACCGACGAGUACGACCAACCUCCGCACCGCCGAGCUCGCAUCAAAUAAGGCGGUGGAUCGUCUCGCCGCCACGCCCCGGUGAAGCAGGAGGAGGGCCCGAUCUGAGCUCAGGUCUGCCGAACUUGGCUUCAGGACCUGUUGCGGCCUUGCGGGUCGCUUUUGUUUAACCUUUCCUUCCUUCUGGGAUUUGAAAAACGUAGGUUGCCCCGCUGGGGUGUGUAAUGAACUAUGGCAGUUAUGCUCUUUAUGAAGUGCUUAUUAUCUUAAUGCUAUGUCAUGAUGUUUGUAUUCUAGGUAGGCAAGGGUAGGAUAACUUAGCUUGACAGGUUUGCGGCAGCUUCCCACCUCGCGGGGGCGCGACCCUUGAUGCUUGGCGGAGCCCCCCUUCCUGAUGACUCGGGGGCCACCGGUCUCGGGAGAUGCUGGAGGCCUCGGGAGAUGCCGUAGAGCUGCUGCAGAGCCGUUUAAAGGAAAAGAAACCUUAACGGGUACCUCAUUCUUCCUUGUGCGAGCCCCCUGCCAUAGGUUUCGCUCUGGCUUAAUGCACCGCGUCGCGCUGCCCGAGGGGCACGGACAUGAGAGGGCGCUGAUGCCCACGAGCUUGAUUGAGGGCUUCUCGCGAGGAUCAGAAAGCCGAAGCCCUGGGGCAACGGGGUUCGGCAAGGUGUGCUUGUGCGAGGGCGGACCCGUGCGCACACACCUGCCUAGCCCGCAUGCGGGGGGCGCGCGAGGAAGAGCAACGUGCAACUGCCGCCCUUUUCUGGCCCAGGCCAUGAAUGAGUGAAAUGAGAGGAAAGAAAAUCCAACUUGGCGAACCAAAACGCGAAAACUCCAAAUUCCAUUAAAAGAUUGUGAAACAACUUCGGAAAGCAAGCAAAUGAACAACCGCAUCUGGCACCUAGUCUAGUCUUCUCACCAGCGCGGAGAUAAGUGCUGCCACUAGGACGUGGGAGGGAGCCCCCGUGAGGCCCCAGGGCGGCGCUCAGGAGACUCCGGGGCUAGUACAUCCCCACUCAUUAUUACGUGAGAGUGUCACGAGCGGAGACCUUCACAGGCCGGAGCCUUGCUUCAUGGGUAGAACUUCUAGAGGUGCUGGAUGUUCCAGGUGUUUUGGAUGGGGAUCAUGUCUUGUGUCUACAGGCGCGCGGCGCCAGGCCUGGAGACACGGGCAAUCCUAAACAGGCCCUCCCACAUGGGAGAGAGCUUGUCCAGUCCUUUCCUAGAGAGCACCCGCCUCAGGAUGAGAUCACCCACCUCGAGCGUCCUGGGGCAGACAUUGCGGUAAUGGUACCGCCGCAGCACCUGCUGGUACCUUGCCGCUCGGAGCGAUGCUUGACGGCGGCAUUCCUCCCCCAGCAUGAGAUCCGUCCCCCGCAUGGCAUCCUGGCGUGCCUCGUCGAACGCCAUGACCCGCGUGGAGCGAUGCUUGACCUUGUGUGGGAGAACCACUUCAGCUCCGUAGAUGGCGAAGAACAGUGUCUCGCUCGUCAGCUUGGUCACGGUGGUGUGAUACGUCUCCAACGUAUCUACUUUUCCAAACACUUUUGCCCUUCUUUUGAACUCUAACUUGCAUAAUUUGAAUGAAACUAACCCAGACUGACGCUGUUUUCAGUAGAACUGCCAGGGUGUUAUUUUUGUGCAGAAACAAAAGUUCUCGGAAUGACCAGAAAAUCCACGAAGAUUAUUUUUGGAAAAUAUAAAAAAUAUUGGCGAAAGAAUCAAGACCAGGGGGGCCACACCCUGUCCACGAGGGUGGGGGCGCGCCCCCUCCCCCUGGGCGCGCCCCCUGCCUCGUGGGCCCCCUGGAUGUCCACCGACCUCAACUCCAACUCCAUAUAUUAUCUUUCCUGGAGAAAAAAAUCAGAGAGAACGUUUCAUCGCGUUUUACGACACGGAGCCAUCGCCAAGCCCUAAUCUCUCUCGGGAGGGCUGAUCUGCAGUCCUUUCGGGGCUCCGGAGAGGGGGAUUCGUCACCGUCGUCAUCAUCAACCAUCCUCCAUCACCAAUUUCAUGAUGUUCACCCUCGUGCAUGAGUAAUUCCAUCGUCGGCUUGCUGGACGGUGAUGGGUUGGAUGAGAUUUACCAUGUAAUCAAGUUAGUUUUGUUAGGGUUUGAUCCCUAGUAUCCACUAUGUUCUGAGGUUGAUGUUGCUAUGACUUUGCUAUGCUUAAUGCUUGUCACUAGGGCCCGAGUGCGAUGAUUUCAGAUCUGAACCUAUUAUGUUUUCAUCAAUAUAUGUGAGUUCUUGAUCCUAUCUUGCAAGUCUAUAGUCACCUAUUAUGUGUUAUGAUCCGACAACCCCAAAGUGACAAUAAUCGGGAUACUUCUCAGUGAUGACCGUAGUUUGAGGAGUUCAUGUAUUCACUAAGUGCUAAUGCUUUGGUCCGGUUCUCUAUUAAAAGGAGGCCUUAAUAUCCCUUAGUUUCUACUAGGACCCUGCUGCCACGAGAGGGUAGGACAAAAGAUGUCAUGCAAGUUCUUUUCCAUAAGCACGUAUGACUACUUAUGGAAUACAUGCCUACAUUACAUUGAUGAACUGGAGCUAGUUCUAUAUCACCCUAGGUUAUAACUAUUACAUGAGGAAUCGCAUCUGACAUAAGUAUCCACCACUGAUCCAAUGCCUACGAGCUUUUCACAUAUUGUGAUUUGCUUAUUUACUUUACCGUUGCUACUGUUACAACUACUACGAAAACCCAAAAACAUUUACCUUUUCUGUUGCUACUGUUACCAUUAUUAUCAUACCACUCUUGCUACUAAAUACUUUGCUGCACAUACUAAGUUAUCCAGGUGUGGUUGAAUUGACAAAUCAACUGCUAAUACUCAAGAAUAUUCUUUGGCUCCCCUUGUGUCGAAUCAAUAAAUUUGGGUUGAAUACUCUACCCUCGAAAGCUGUUGCGAUCCCCUAUACUUUUGGGUUAUCAAGAACAAUUUCUGGCGCCGUUGCCGGGGAUAGCUUUAUUCUCUGAGUCACUUGGGAUUUAUAUCUGUUGAUCACUAUGAAGAACCUGAAAAAUGCUAAGACCAAGAUUUUGCCCUCAACUACGAGGGGAGGUAAGGAACUGCCAUCUAGCUCUGCACUAGAUUCGCCUUCCAUUAUUAGUAGGCUUGCGACACCUAAACCUGCUACUGCUAUGAAUUCUGAUAUGUCACAUGUUAUUGAUGAUGCCACUUCUACUAUGCAUGAUGAAACUACUUCUGUGCGUGAUACUACUUUGCCAUUAGGUGAAUUUCUUGAUGAACAACUUGCUAGAGUUAGGGGGAAUGAAAAUAUUGAAGAUACUAUUGAUGAUAGUGAUGAACAAAGAAGCUGCUGAAGCUAUUCUUGCUUGCAAUGAUAGAAAUGAUCUUAAGAAAUUAUUAGCUAAAUGAAAGCAGCAGUCUCUAAAUGCUAGAAUAAAACCCGAUCCUAUUUUUGCUACUUCACCUAUCUGUGUUACUGAUAAGGAUUAUGAAUUCUCUGUUGAUCCUGAUAUUAUUACUUUAGUUGAAUCUGAUCCUUUUUAUGGCCUUGAAUCUGAAACUGUUGUGGCACAUUUUACCAAGUUGAAUGAUAUAGCCACCCUAUUUACUCAUGAUGAGAAGUCUGCUAUUUAUAUAUCCUUAAGAUUUUCCCGUUCUAACUAAAGGGUGAUGCUAAGACUUGGUAUAAUUCUCUUGCUCCUGGUUGUGUGCAUAGUCCCCAGGAUAUGAUUUCUUACUUCUCUACUAAAUAUUUCCCUGCUCAUAAGAAACAAGCUGCCUUGCAGGAAAUAUAUAAUUUUGUGCAAAUCAAAGAAGAGAGUCUCCCACAAGCUUGGGGGAGGCUUCUCCAGUUGCUUUAUUCUUUGCUUGAUCAUCAUCUUAAGAAAAAUGAAAUACUUGAUAUCUUUUAUAAUGGACUAACUGAUGCUUCCAAGGACCACUUGGAAAGUUGUGCUGGUUGUGUUUUCAGGGAAAGAACAGUUGACGAAGCUGAAAUAUUAUUGAACAAUAUGUUGACUAAUGAAAAUAAUUGGACUCUUCCUGAGCUAGUUCCUGAAGUAAUUCCUGAACCAAUUGAGCCAACUCCUGAGCCUAUUCCUAAACCCACUCCGAAGAGGAGAGGUGUUUUAUUUCUCAGUCCUGAAGAUAUGCAAGAGGCAAAGAAAUCAAUGAAAUAAAAAGGUAUUAAAGCUGAAGAAGUCAAGAAUUUACCACCUAUUGAAGAAAUACAUGGUCUUAGUUUACCGCCUGAAGAACCACAUUGUCUUGAUAACCCGACACAGGUAGUAAAGGUAAAUUCUCUCUAUAGAUAUGAUAACGUUGAAAUACCCUCUACUAAAUUUCAUACCCAAGCUUAGAUGAAUUUGAUGACUUUAUGGCUAGACAAGAAAGUUUUAAUGCUUAUGUUGGUAGAGAGUUAAAGAAUAAUGCUUUCGAGAUAGGACGCGUAGGUGAUAAUCUGGCUAGAGUUAAAGAUGAACUUCACCGCGUUAGCAAAUAUGCUUCUAUGGUUGCUACUCAAGCUAAGCACUCAAGGCUCAAAAUGAUUUGUUUGAUGAAUUGAAUAAUAAAAAUGACUUUGUCGUUAGAGUGGCUAUUAGAACUUGUAGAAUGACUCGGGAACCUUUGUAUCCUGAAGGCCACCCUAAAAGAAUUGAACAAGAUUCUCAGAAUAAUAAUCUAGAUGUUCCUAGUUCUUCUAAGAAGAAGAAAAAGAAGAAUGAUAGGACUGUGCAAACUUCUAGUGAACCAAAUGCUAAAAUACUUGAGAAUCCCAAGGAUACUUCUAUCUCUGAUGCUGAAAGACAAUCCGGAGAUGAACAUGAACCUGAUGAUAAUGCUAAUAAUGAUGUUCAUGUAGAUGCUCAACCUAGUAAUAACAAUGAUGUAGAGAUUGAACCUGCUGUUGAUCUUGAUAACCCACAAUCAAGAAACCAACGUUAUGAUAAGAGAGAUUUUAUUUCUAGGAAGCACGGUAAGGAAAGAGAAUCAUGGGUUCAGAAACCCAUGCCCUUUCCUCCUAAACCAUCCAAGUCAAAGGAUGAUGAGGAUUUUGAGCGCUUUGCUGAAAUGAUUAGACCUAUUUUCUUACAUAUGCGCUUAAUUGAUAUGCUUAAAGUAAAUCCUUAUGCUAAAUACAUGAAGGAUAUCAUCACAAAUAAAAGAAAGAUACCGGAAGCUGAAAUUUCCACCAUGCUUGCUAAUUACACUUUUAAGGGUGGAAUACCAAAGAAACUUGGAGAUCCGGGUGUACCAACUAUACCAUGCUCCAUUAAAAAAAUUAUGUUAGAACUGCUUUAUGUGAUCUUGGAGCCGGUGUUAGUGUUAUGCCUCUCUCUUUAUAUCAUAGACUUGAAUUGAAUAAGUUGAUGCCUACUGAAAUAUCUUUGCAAAUUGCUAAUAAAUCAACUGCUAUACCUGUCGGAAUUUGCAAGGAUGUGCCUGUUGUGGUUGCAAAUGUCACUAUCUUAACGGACUUUGUUAUUCUUGAUAUUCCCGAGGACGAUAGUAUGUCUAUUAUCCUUGGUAGACCUUUUCUUAAUACUACAGGGGCUGUUAUUGAUUGCAACAAAGGCAAUGUCACUUUUCAUGUUAAUGGCAAUGAGCAUACGGUACACUUUCUGAGGAAACAAUCUCAAGUUCAUAGCAUCAAUUCUAUUGAAAAAGUUCCAACUAUCAUUUUUGGAGGUUUUGAAUUUCCUCUCCCUACUGUCAAGAAAAAGUAUGAUAUUCUUAUUGUUGGGGAUUUUCAUAUCCCCGUUGAGGUAACUUAGUGUUAUUCAAAAUUUCUCUAGUUCCGUGUUAUUCGGAAUGAGUUUGUUAACAAGACUUGAUCAACCUUGUUAGCGGGUUCAUUUUGAUGAUCACGAGAUGGAUGAAACUAGAAGGCACAACCUUCUGUACCCUCUUUUUACUUUUUGUUAUUUAGAUUAAAUAAAGCAAAAAUAGUAUUAUCCGUCUUUUUUCUGAAUUAUCCGUGCAAAAAAAUAGUCCGAAAAUAAAAGUGCUCCAAAUGCCCUGCAAAUUUAGUAUGAUUUUUUCUGGAAUAUUUGAGUAUUUUAGGCACUGAAAACACUGCAGGAGGGCCAAGCACCAGGCCACGAGAGAGGAGGGCGCCCCCCUGUAGGGCGCGCCCCCCUGUCUCGUGGGCCCCUAGUGGCUCCCCUCCACUUAUGCCAGCACCCACACAGUUCAUCUUCUGCCAAAAAAAUCCCCAUCCAGCUCAAGCACGAGUUCUAGCUCGUUUUGCUACGAUUUUCGAUAUCUUAGCUUAAAGCUCCAUUCACAAAACUGCUUUGGGAGAUUGUUGCUUGGUAUGUGACUCCUCCAUUGAUCCAAUUAGUUUUUGUUCUAGUGUUUUAUUCAUUGCAAAUCUUUGUUGUCUUGGUGACCCUGUUCUUGAGCUUGCAUGUUAAAUUUUUGAGGUCCCAAGCAAUUCCAAUGCAUGAAAUGGGCUCUAGGCACUUGUAGGAGUAGUUGCUAUCAAUCUUGUUUAGUUUUAUGCACUUUUAUUUUGAAGUUACUAAAAUUUCAGAAAUUUUCAGAGAAAGAAAUAUGCUUAGAAAAAUGUACCAAGGUGGUUCCUCGGCAAAGAAAGGGCCAAGGAUUGCUAUAUGUGAGCAAGACGUUGAAUUGCCGAGCAAUGCAUAUGUACGGGCUUGUGAGUGGCCAUCCAAUGAUUUUAUGAUCGAAGCAGGCUUCAAGGAGGAAUUUGACGCGUAUGUGCGUAAUGCUGAGCUGGAGGACGUCUUACAAGAUAAGUGUCCUCAAUACUCUCAAUUGACUGAUUCCUUUGUGCAGAGGUUUAAAUAUAACUGUACGCAUAAUUCUCCUAGUGUCCUAUUUGAUAUUUAUGAUACAUCUUACACCAUGGACUUAGAGGAUUUUACAACUGCUUGCAAACUCCCGCAGUGGGGUAAUAUUAUUGAUCCUCCCAAAUCUGAAUUUAGAGAUUUCCUUGCGAAUAUUACUGUGGGAGAAUCUAGGGACGUAGCACAAGCUACCAUAGGGAGCAUUCAUUUUCCUGCUUUACAUUACUUUGCUCUCUUUAUUGGUAGAUGCGUUAACGGUAAGGACGAGGUAUGCCACAUGUGUGCCCCCGAUCUUUGUGUCCUCAAGAGUGUUGUGUCAGGUUAUAAAGGCUAUAACUUGGGGGCAAUAGUUGCACGUAGGUUGCAGAAUAAUAGUAGAAAGGGAAAUUUCUUUGGAGGAAUUUAUGCAACCCGUGUGGCUAAUUUUCUUGGUAUAGCCCCACAAGAAGGAGAUAUGAUAAUACCUCCUGUUUAUUUGGAUAAAGAAGCUAUAUUUAGUCAUCAUUUUCUUGAGAGGAAUGUACAAUUCCUCCAUUAUCGACUAAUCUAUGACAGACGCAACGUCGUCCCUGUUACUCUUCCUGCUCCCUACCUUUUUGAUUAUCAGGAAAAAGGAAGAUUUGUUGUCCCCAGAGAGGAAGCAGCUGAAUACGAGAGGGGAGUUGAGGCAGCUCGCCAACACGCUGCAGCUCAGGAGGCGGCUACCGCUGCAUCUCAGUACAACCCCGGUUUCACUUAUGGAUAUGAGCCAGGCGGUCCUUGGUAUUAAACCAACUUAGGCCAAAAGCCUAAGCUUGGGGGAGUACGCAUUUCUCACCGACUUUACAUUCAUGUUCACACACUAGUCGUCGGUGCUCAUACUCUUUCAUUGUAUUAUCCAUGCUAGUUUAAAUUUCUUUUUCUAGUUUUCUUCUUGUGUGUUUGAUAAACCUUAAGAAAAACCAAAAAAAUUAGUUAGUUAUUUCCCUUGUCUGUAGUAGAAUUAAGAUGAAAACCCAAAAAGAUUUCUCGUUCUUCUUUUACUUGUUGGGAGCUUUCCCAUGUAAUUAGUUUCAUUUUCUUUUCUUUCCUUUGGGGGUCGAGAAGACCAUAUUGAAAAUGCUUAGUGGCUCUCAUAUGCAUGAUUGAUUAUUUAUAUUUAGAGCCCAUAUUACUUGUCUUCUCUUUUGAGUUGAAUGCUUGUAGAUUCUAGCUUAGUCCAAUGCACAUACACUCUUAUUAUUAUACACAUCGUUCGGUCGUGCGAGUGAAAGGCAAUAAUGACGAUAUAUGAUGGACUUAUUGGGAUGAGAAAAGCUGGUAUGAACUCGACCUCUCUUGUUUUUUUAAAUAUGAUAAUUCAUCGCUCCUGAGUCAGCUAUUAUGAAGUAAACAUAUUUGCAAUGACAUUUAGAGAUUAUAGUUACUUAUGCCAUGCUUGAUUAGCUAUGAGUUAUAAUGGUUUACCUUGCAUGCCAACAUGCUAUUAGAAUGAUUAUGAUGUGGUAUGAUGGGAUGGUAUCCUCCUUUAAAUGAAUUGAGUGACUCGACUUGGCACAUGUUCACGCAUGUAGUUGAAUCAAAUUAACAUGGCCUUCACGAUAUUUAUGUUCAUGGUGGAUUAUAUCCUACUCAUGCUUGUAUUCGGUGUGAAUUAAUUUUAAUGCAUGCUUACGACUGUUGUCGCUCUCUCAGUUGGUCGCUUCCCAGUCUUUUGCUAGCCUUCACCUGUACUAAGCGGGAAUACUGCUUGUGCAUCCAAACUCCUUAAACCCCAAAGUUGUUCCAUAUGAGUCCACUAUACCUUCCUAUAUGCGGUAUCUACCUGCCGUUCCAAGUAAAUUUGUAUGUGCCAAACUCCAAACCUUCAAAUGAAAUUCUGUUUUGUAUGCUCGAGCAGCUCAUGUAACAACUAGGGUUGCCUAUAUCUUCCAUGCUAGGUGUGUUAUUCUCAGAGGAGUGGACUCCACUCCUCAUUCACGAGAAAGGGCCGGUAACCGGGAUGCCCAGUCCCAUGAUCCAAAAAGAUCAAAGGAAAUCAAAAUAAAUAAACAAAACUCCCCCAGGGCUGUUGUAUGUUGGAGGCACUCGUUGUUUCGAGCAAGCCAUGGAUUGAUGCUUGUUGGUGGUUGGGGGAGUAUAAACCUUUGCCAUUCUGUUUGGGAACUGCCCAUAAUGCAUUUAGUAUGGAAGAUACAGCCAUCUCAUAGGUGUUGCGUUGACAGCGAAAGUAUGCCGCUCAAAAUGUUAUUCAAUCUCUAUUUUAAAAUCGAGUUCUGGUACCUCUACAAAUCCCUGCUUCCUUCUGCGAAGGGCCUAUCUAUUUACUUUUAUGUUGAGUCAUCACCCUUCUUAUUAAAAGCACCAGUUGGAGAGCACACUGUCAUUUGCAUUCAUUAUUAUUGGUUUACAUUGGGUAUGACUUAACUGGAUCUCUUUUACCAUGAAUUACAAUGUUUAGUCAGUCCUUGAUCUUUAAAGGUGCUCUGCAUUUAUGUUUUGCGGUCCCAAAAAGGGCUAGCGAGAUACCAUUUUGUUAUAUCAUGUUAUGAUUAUUUUGAGAAAGUGUUGUCAUCCGAGUUUUAUUAUUAUGGCUCCCUAGCUGAUUUUGCUAUUGAUAUGAGUAAUUGUGAGACCUAUGUGUUAUUGUGAGUAUGGUUAGUUCGUAAUAUUUGCUGAAACUUGAAUGCUGGCUUUUCAUGUUUACAACAACAAGAGCAAACAGAGUUUGCAAAAGUUUUUCUUUAUCACUUUCAGUUUAUCAACUGAAUUGCUUGAGGACAAGCAAAGGUUUAAGCUUGGGGGAGUUGAUACGUCUCCAACGUAUCUACUUUUCCAAAAACAAUUGCCCUUGUUUUGGACACUAACUUGCAUGAUUUGAAUGAAACUAACCCGAACUGAUGCUGUUUUUAGCAGAACUACCAUGAUGUUGUUUUAUGUGUAGAAAAGAAAAGUUCUCGGAAUGACCUGCAAAUCCACGGAGGGACUUUUCAGAAUUAAUAAGAAUUUUUGGCGAAACAAUCAGGGCCAGGGGGCCCAGGGCCUGUCCACGAGACAGCCCCCCCUAGGGCGCCCCCCUAUCUCGUGGGCCCCCGGACCUCCUCCGACCUCAACUCCAACUCCAUAUAUACCGUCUCGCGGAGAAAAAAUUCGAGGAGAAAGUUUCAUCGCGUUUUACGACACAGAGCCAAAGACAAGCCCUAAUCUCUCUCGGGAGGGCUGAUCUGGAGUCCGUUCGGGGCUCCGGAGAGGGGGAUUCGUCGCCGUCGUCAUCAUCAACCAUCCUCCAUCACCAAUUUCAUGAUACUCACUGCCAUGUGUGAGUAAUUUCAUCGUAGGCUUGCUGGACGGUGAUGGGUUGGAUGAGAUUUACCAUGUAAUCAAGUUAGUUUUGUUAGGGUUUGAUUCCUAGUAUCCACUAUGUUCUGAGAUUGAUGUUGCUAUGACUUUGCUAUGCUUAAUGCUUGUCACUAGGGCCCGAGUGCCAUGAUUUCAGAUCUGAACCUAUUAUGUUUUCAGCAAUAUAUGUGUGUUCUUGAUCCUAUCUUGCAAGUCUAUAGUCACCUAUUAUGUGUUAUGAUCCGACAACCCCGAAGUGACAAUAAUCGGGACACUUCUCAGUGAUGACCGUAGUUUGAGGAGUUCAUGUAUUCACUAUGUGUUAAUGCUUUGGUCCGGUUCUCUAUUAAGAGGAGGCCUUAAUAUCCCUUAGUUUCCACUAGGACCCCGCUGCCACGGGAGGGUAGGACAAAAGAUGUCAUGCAAGUUCUUUUCCAUAAGCACGUGUGACUAUUUACGGAAAACAUGCCUACAUUACAUUGAUGAACUGGAGCUAGUUAUAUAUCACCCUAUGUUAUAACUAUUACAUGAGGAAUCGCAUCCGGCAUAAUUAUCCAUCACUGAUCCAUUACCUACGAGCUUUUCAUAUGUUGUUCUUCGCUUAUUUACUUUUCCGUCGCUACUAUUACAACUACUACGAAAACCCGAAAACAUUUACCUUUUCUGUUGCUACUAUUACCAUUAUUAUCAUACCACUCUUGUUACUAAAUACUUUGCUGCAGAUACUAAGUUAUCCAGGUGUGGUUGAAGUGGCAACUCAACUGCUAAUACUCAAGAAUAUUCUUUGGCUCCCCUUGUGUCGAAUCAAUAAAUUUGGGUUGAAUACUCUACCCUCGAAAGCUGUUGCGAUCUCCUAUACUUGUGGGUUAUCAUCGAGUCCUUAGGAUUCAAUCUUAUGUUUGUCUCAAUGCUUUGUGAUCUUGAUAUGGUUGUUGUCUUCGGCAAAUAUCGUUGCCUUGUGCUAAUGGAAUCUGACAACUCCAAAGUCUUCGAAGGCUUUAGGAAAGGAGACUUGUAUAUUGUUGAUUUCUCUGCAGGACCACAGCCUGCCACAUGUCUACUUGCAAAAGCUUCAGAAUGUUGGUUAUGGCAUCGAUGACUUGGUCAUGCUGGGAUGAGGAACUUACAUACACUCGUGAAGAAGAAGCAUGUCAUUGGCAUCGAGGGUGUCAAAUUCCUCAAAGACCAUAUUUGUGGGGCUGGGGCUUGUGAAGCUAGAAAGAUCACCAGAGCCAAGCAUCCCUCGAAGACUAUCAUGACCACUUCUCGUCCCUUUGAAUUCCUUCAUAUGGAUCUCUUCGGCCCUACUCAUUAUGCCACGUUCCCUAGUUCUGCAUCAUUAUAUGGCUUUAUCAUAGUUGAUGACUAUUCUCGUUACACAUGGGUGCAUAUCAUCACUUACAAAAAUGAGGUGCAGGAAGUCUUCAGACGAUUUUCCUCAAGGGCUUCCACUAACUUUGGUGUGAAGAUCAAGCAUAUCAGGAGUGAUAAUGGAACUGAGUUCAAGAACACUGGCCUCAACGAAUAUCUCGAUAUGCUUGGUAUUACUCAUGAAUUAUAUGCUCCUUAUACUCCUCAGCAGAAUGGCAUCGUGGAGCGCAAAAACAAGACUCUUGUUGAGAUGGCUCGCACUAUGCUUGAUGAAUACAAGACACCUCAUCGCUUCUGGCCUGAAGCAAUUGAUACUGCGUGCCACAUCAUCAACAGGGCAUAUCUUCACAAAUUCUUCAAAAAGACCUCAUAUGAACUCCUCACUGAUAAGAAACCCAAUGUGAGUUAUUUCAAAGUCUUCGGUGCUAAAUGCUGGAUUAGAGAUCCUCACCAUCACUCUAAAUUUGCACCGAAAGCACAUGAAGGUUUCAUGCUUGGUUACGGAAAGGACUCGCACACCUACAGAGUCUUCAACAUCAAUCAUCACAAGGUUGUUGAAACUGUAGAUGUGCGGUUCGAUGAAACUAAUGGCUCACAAAGAGAGCACCUACCUCCUGUGCUAGAUGAAGUGUCACCUGAGGAAUCCAUCAAGUUCAAAGCUACUGAGGAUGUCAUCCCUACCGAAGAAUCUGCUGAAGAAGUCAUUCCUAAUCGUGAAGAAAAUCACGCUGGUGCUGCUGAAGAAACUGGUCCUGAAGAAACUGCUGGACCUAAGCAAAGUCGUCGACCUGCACAUCCACGCGUUGCACACGAAGUGCAGAUUGAGAAGAUCAUCAAUGACAUUAAUGCACCAGGUCCCCUCGCGCGCUCAAAAGCUUCACAUUUAUCUAACUUUUGUGAGCAUUUUGCAUUUGUCUCUAUCAUAGAACCCACUAAAGUUGAUGAAGCAUUCAUGGAAUCUGAGUGGAUUCAAGCCAUGCAAGAUGAAUUGCAUCAAUUCGAGCUCAACAAUCUGUGGGAACUUGUCAAGCGACUAGACCCGCGCAAGCACAACAUCAUCGGUACCAAAUGGAUCUACCGCAACAAACAAGACAAAAAUGGCCUCGUGGUGAGGAAUAAGGCUCGUCUUGUAGUUCAAGGCUACACAGAGGUUGAAGGAAUUGAUUUCGAUGAAACUUUUGCACGUGUUGCUAGACUUGAGGCUAUUCGCAUAUUGCUUGCUUAUGAUAACCAUCAUAAUAUCAUCUUACAUCAAAUGGAUGUGAAAACUGCAUUCCUCAAUGGUAAGCUUGAGGAAGAAGUAUAUGUUGCUCAACCACCAGGUUUUGAGGAUCCAAAAUUUCCAGAUCAUAUUUACAAACUCAACAAGGCCCUCUAUGGCCUCAAGCAAGCACCUCGGGCAUGGUAUGACACACUGAUUGGCUCUUUAUUGUACCUAUGUGCAUCUAGGUCGGAUAUUAUGCUUAGUGUUUGCAUGUGUGCCCAAUUUCAAGCUACACCGAAGGAAUCACACCAUAAGGCUGUGAAGCAUAUUCUUCGAUAUCUAGCUCACACUCCAACACUUGGAUUAUGGUAUCCCAAGGGCUCUUCCUUUGAUCUCAUUGGAUAUUCAGACUCUGACUAUGCUGGUGAUCGGGUGGACCGCAAGUCAAUGUAAGGCACAUGUCAUUUCCUCGGACGAUCCUUGAUAUGCUGGUCUUUGAAGAAACAGAACUGCGUAUCACUCUCCACUGCAGAAGCUGAGUACAUUGCUGCUGGAUCUUGCUGUGCUCAAUUACUAUGGAUGAAGAAAACACUCAAGGACUAUGGCAUCAAUGUGAAGAAUGUGCCACUCUACUGCGACAAUGAGUGCUAUCAAGAUUGCUCACAACCCAGUUCAGCACUCGAAGACAAAGCACAUCCAGAUUCGUCAUCAUUUUCUUCGUGACCAUGUGUUGAAGGGUGAUAUCUCCAUCGAUCACGCAAGUACUGAAGACCAGUUAGCCGAUAUCUUCACUAAACCCUUGGAUGAGAAGAGAUUUAGCAAGUUGCGGCGUGAGCUAAAUAUCCUAGAAUCUUCGAAUGUUCUUUGAAAAGGACACACAUCCUAACACUUAUGCUGACUUGAUGACUUAGAUGUGCAACACACGAAGUAACGUUUUUCUUCAAUCAAUGAAGACUAACCCUCUAAGUGUGAAGAAAUUAAUGAAGAAAUUGAUUCUCAGAACUCUAGGAGAGUUGUGCGCGGUGUCUGAAAUCAGCUUUCUUAUACGGUGGGAUACGCCACCAACCAAAGUUGAAAAUCUUCAAUUUGAGUUUUUCUUCAUUUUUGAAAUUCCUCAGUUUUUCAAAUUCUUCAACUUUGCAUUGUCUUCACUCUUUCUGUCAUUCUUCUUCAUUGACUAUAUAUAUAUAUAUAUAUAUAUAUAUAUAUGAGUUUAUGUCCUCUACAUCAUUCACUUAUUGCUAAUUCCUCAAGUUGUUUUUUCUGCUAAGUGAAUGUGAUUGGACCCUUAUCCCCCUCCAUGCUAAACUCAACCCAGUCUGUUCAAAAAUUCUUCAUGUGCAUUCUAUUUGAAACUCGUUCAAAUUCUUCAUUGUGUACUUGUCAGUUGAAGAAAUUGCGAAUGAAACUUUAAAAUAUUCUUAUCUGGAUUUUCGGCUUUUGCCGCUCAAACCAUUACGCAUUCCAUGGUAUACUUAUCUAUUCACCCAUUAUCUCACACGAUCUCCACCUCUCAGUACGUGGGUGACACAUGUCGCGCGAAUGAGAAGGGUCAGGGGCACGUUUGUCCAAUUUCCUCGGACGAACGGUUUUUCACCUCAGCUAUAAAUACCCUCUCCCCUCCUCACUUCAUUUUUACUCCGCUCGACCUCACUCCCUCGCUCGAGCUUAUCAAAACCUAGUUCCACCGCUACUUCCAUCGUCGCCGGUGAGGAAGAGCUUCACUGCCUCGACCUCGUAGCCAUCGUACUCGCGCCGGACGCGGACAUCUUCUCUCCGCCGCCGCCGUAGACGUCUUCCUCCGCCAAGUUAGGGCGUGGAAGAUCAAAGCCAAUGAACUUCCAAAUCUACACUUCCAGUUCGUCGUGUUCUUCGUCAGGGGUAAUUAAAAAUUACUUUUACCACAUUUAUUCUACUGAUGAUUUUCAACAAAUCGUCAAAAGGUGUUUAUUCUUCAACCUCCACACUCUAAACACCUAGCACAAUUCUUCAGUUCUUGAUCUGUUUCUCUAAGUGACGUUUUUGUUCAUGAUUCCUUAAUUGUGUGAAUCUCACGAUCCGCACAACUCUGGAACCUAAGUCAAAGAACGCUUAGUGAAAUUCUUCAAGACACAUUGGGUCAAUUUCCUCAAACUUAUUCAGUUUUACAAAACCUUCUGAGAAUGCAUAUGACCUCUCCAAAUUCUUCGCACCUAUACUCUAUUCACAGGUACACAUGUUUGCUGUUGAAUCACUAGGUUCUCAUCAACUUAACUCAUUUGCAGCGUUCCUCGAAGAAAAGUUGCACACUUAGUCAGAGAGCUCUAUUGUUCGAAUCCCUCAGCUGAAGAAAAUGGCAGAUGGUAAAAGGCCUCAAAAAGGAGGAAAGAAGCAUGAAGUCUAUACUGCCUUUGAGAUCCCUGCUGACAUCUAUGUAGGGUACUGCACGCCUGAUGAGGCAACUCACGGCAAGGAGACUAAAAAUGAGUGCAAAGUGCGCAUACAGAGGAUUGAAAGAAGAUGGGCAAGAGAAUGGAGGGAGUACAGAUAUGUCACUCCCAAAUACAUGAAGAAAUUUGCUCUUCACCCUCCAUGCUCAAGACCUCCUCUGGCACCUAGCCAAAGAACUGAUCCAACAAGCCUUAAACGUGGUGAGGAUUAUGCUGAUGAAUGGGCCAGACGGCAAGCUAAAUUGGACAAGCAGACCAAAGAAGAAGUGAAGAAAUUCAAUGAGGAUUAUGUUGCUGGCUCUGUUGAGGCUUCUUCAAGCAAGAAGGCUAUGCCAAAGAAGCCGGCUCGUAAACCUCCAAGUUCCUCAGAAAUGCCCUCACGACCAAGUUCUUCUUUAAUGCCCUCACGGCCAAGUUCUUAUUCAAUGCCCUCACGGCCAAGCUCCUAUGUGCCACUAAGGCAAAUUCCUCAAGCUGCCCCAGUUCCUCAGACUGCACAAAUUCCUCGGGCUUCAAAACCCUCAACUCCUCUGGCAAAAUCCUCGGCACCUGUGCAUAUCGCCACUUGCCAAAGGACCACUGGCAUAUCAAUUGCCUCAGGAGCUUCAGCAAGUUCUUCAGCUCAUCCUUCUUCAACCGGUCCCACACUGCUGAAGACCAAGGCCGCUACUGGACGAGGCACUAGAUCAAGUCCUCACAAGAAGCAGGUGGUCUUCCCAACUCCAUCUGAUGAUGAGGCUGAUGAUGAUGAAUUAGCUGAUAUCAUCAAGGACAGACAGCAGCGGGCCGCUAGAGCCAAAGGGAGUGUUGUGCCCCUUCUACUGGAUCCGAAGAAGAUCCUGGAUUUCAUAGAUCUCUGGCACAAAGAUCCAAAUGCUCCAAUGCCAGAGUUGGGCCUCACUCCUGGACAAAGUCACAUGGUAACGGCGUUCAUCGCUGAAGAAAAAUGGAAAUAUGAUCAAGCCAGGACUGCAAAGAAAUCCCAGUACAAGAAGCAGCGCUUUCUGAAAGAUAAUGUUCUAAGUCUUUCGCCUGAGCAGCUCAUUGGACUUCAAUCUGAAAUCAAAAAGCUCAGUGAUGAAUUUGCCGCCUACAAGGCAGAAUGGUUGGGAGCCAAGGUCAGAUUCGUCAAGAUGGCGAAGAAAUUCACUUCAAGUGUCGCUGCUCCUGUGCACAUUGAAGUCACUCCAGCUAAAGCAUCUGCUCAAGCCACUGAAGGCUGCUGAUGAAACUGCAAGUACCAGGGUGCUACCUCUUGAGCAAUGUGUUGGUUUUCCCUUGAAGAGGAAAGGGUGAUCCAGCAAAAUAGCAUAAGUAUUUCCCUCAGUUUUUGAGAACCAAGGUAUCAAUAUAGUAGGAAGCUCCUCAAAAGUCUGGAUCUUGCUGUGCUCAAUUACUAUGGAUGAAGCAAACACUCAAUGACUAUGGCAUCAAUGUGAAGAAUUUGCCACUCUACUGCGACAAUGAGAGUGCUAUCAAGAUUGCUCACAACCCAGUUCAGCACUCGAAGACAAAGCACAUCCAGAUUCGUCAUCAUUUUCUUCGUGACCAUGUGUUGAAGGGUGACAUCUCCAUCGAUCAUGCAAGUACUAAAGAUCAGCUGGCCGAUAUCUUCACUAAACCCUUGGAUGAAAAGGACACACAUCCUAACACUUAUGCUGACUUGAUGACUUAGAUGUGCAACACACGAAGUAACAUUUUUCUUCAAUCAAUGAAGAGUAACCCUCUAAGUGUGAAGAAAUUAAUGAAGAAAUUGAUUCUCAGAACUCUAGGAGAGUUGUACGCGGUGUCUGAAAUCAGCUUUCUUAUAUGGUGGGAUACGCCACCAACCAAAGUUGAAAAUCUUCAAUUUGAGUUUUUCUUCAUUUUUGAAAUUCCACAAUUUUUCAAAUUCUUCAACUUUGCAUUGUCUUCACUCUUUCCGUCGUUCUUCUUCAUUGACUAUAUAUAUAUAUAUAUAUAUAUAUAUAUGUGUGUGUGUGUGUGUGUGUGUGNNNNNNNNNNNNNNNNNNNNNNNNNNNNNNNNNNNNNNNNNNNNNNNNNNNNNNNNNNNNNNNNNNNNNNNNNNNNNNNNNNNNNNNNNNNNNNNNNNNNNNNNNNNNNNNNNNNNNNNNNNNNNNNNNNNNNNNNNNNNNNNNNNNNNNNNNNNNNNNNNNNNNNNNNNNNNNNNNNNNNNNNNNNNNNNNNNNNNNNNNNNNNNNNNNNNNNNNNNNNNNNNNNNNNNNNNNNNNNNNNNNNNNNNNNNNNNNNNNNNNNNNNNNNNNNNNNNNNNNNNNNNNNNNNNNNNNNNNGUAUAUAUAUAUAUGAGUUUAUGUCAUCUACAUCAUUCACUUAUUGCUAAUUCUUCAAGUUGUUUUUUCUGCUAAGUGAAUGUGAUUGGACCCUUAUCCCCCUCUAUGCUAAACUCAACCCAGUCUGUUCAAAAAUUCUUCAUGUGCGUUCUAUUUGAAACUCGUUCAAAUUCUUCACUGUGUCCUUGUCAGUUGAAGAAAUUGCGAAUGAAACUUUAAAAUAUUCUUAUCUGGAUUUUCGGCUUUUGCCGCUCAAACCGUUGUGCAUUCCAUGGUAUACUUAUCUAUUCACCCAUGAUCUCACACAAUCUCCACCUCUCAGUACGUGGGUAACACAUGUCGCGUGAAUGAGAAGGGUCAGGGGCACGUUUGUCCAAUUUCCUCGGACGAACGGUUUUUCACCUCAGCUAUAAAUACCCCCUCCCCUCCUCACUUAAUUUUUACUCCGCUCGACCUCACUCCCUCGCUCGAGCUUCUCAAAAUCUAGCGCCGCCGCUACUUCCAUCAUCGCCGGUGAGGAAGAGCUUCACUGCCUCGACCUCGUAGCUGUCGUACUCGCGCCGGACACGGACAUCUUCUCUCCGCCGCCGCCGUAGACGUCUUCCUCCGCCACGUUAGGGCGUGGAAGAUCCAAGCCGACGAACUUCCAAAUCUACACUUCCAGUUCGUCGUGUUCUUCGUCAAGGGUAAUUAAAAAUUACUUUUACCACAUUUAUUCUACUAAUGAUUUUCAACAAAUCUUCAAAAGGUGUUUAUUCUUCAACCUCCACACUCUAAACACCUAGCACAAAUCUUCAGUUCUUGAUAUGUUUAUCUAAGUGAUGUUUUUCUUCAUGAUUCCCUGAAUUGUGUGAAUCUCACCAUCCGCACAACUCUUGAACCUAAGUCAAAGAACGCUUAGUGAAAUUCUUCAAGACACAUCGGGUCAAUUUCCACAAACUUAUUUAGUUUUACAAAACCUUCUGAGAACGCAUAUGACCUCUCCAAAUUCUUCGCACCUAUACUCUGUUCACAGGUACACAUGUUUGCUGCUGAAUCACUAGGUUCUCAUGAACCUAACUCAUUUGCAGCGUUCCUCGAAGAAAAGUUGCACACUUAUUCAGAGAGCUCUAUUGUUCAAAUUCCUCAGCUGAAGAAAAUGGCAGAUAGUAAAAGGCCUCAGAAAGGAGGAAAGAAGCAUGAAGUCAAUACUGCCUUUGAGAUCCCUGAUGACAUCUAUGUAGGGUACUGCACGCGUGAUGAGGCAACUCACGGCAAGGAGACUAAAAAUGAGUGCAAAGUGCGCAUACAGAGGAUUGAAAGAAGAUGGGCAAGAGAAUGGAGGGAGUACAGAUAUGUCACUCCCAAAUACAUGAAGAAAUUUGCUCUUCACCCUCCAUGCUCAAGAGCUCCUCUGGCACCUGGCCAAAGAGUUGAUCCAACAAGCCUUAAACGUGGUGAGGAUUAUGCUGAUGAAUGGGCCAGGCGGCAAGCUAAAUUGGACAAGCAGGACAAAGAAGAAGUGAAGAAAUUCAAUGAGGAUUAUGUUGCUGCCGCUGCUGAGGCUUCUUCAAGCAAGAAGGCUAUGCCAAAGAAGCCGGCUCGUAAACCUCCAAGUUCCUCAGCAAUGCCCUCACGGCCAAGUUCUUCUUCAAUGCCCUCACGGCCAAGCUCCUAUGUGCCACCAAGGCAAAUUCCCCAAGCUGCCCCAGUUCCUCAGACUGCACAAAUUCCUCGGGCUUCAAAACCCUCAGCUCCUCCGGCACAAUCCUCGGCACCUGUGCAUAUCGCCACUUGCCAAAGGACCAUUGGCAUACCAAUUUCCAAAGGAGCUUCAGCAAGUUCUUCAGCUCAUCCUUCUUCAACCGGUCCCACACUGCUGAAGACCAAGGCCGCUGCUGGACGAGGCACUAGAUCAAGUCCUCACAAGAAGCAUGUGGUCUUCCAAACUCCAUCUGAUGAUGAGGCUGAUGAUGAUGAAUUAGCUGAUAUCAGCAAGGAUAGACAGCAGCGGGCCGCUAGAGCCAAAGAGGGUGUUGUGCCUCUUCUACUGGACCCGAAGAAGAUCCUGGAUUUCAUAGAUCUCUGGCACAAAGAUCCAAAUGCUCCAAUGCCAGAGUUGGGCCUCACUCCUGCACAAAGACAUAUGGUAACGGCGUUCAUCGCUGAAGAAAAAUGGAAAUAUGAUCAAGCCAGGACUGCAAAGAAAGCCUAGUACAAGAAGCAGCGUUCUGAAAGAUAAUGUUCUGAGUCUUUCGCCUGAGCAGCUCAUUGGACUUCAAUCUAAAAUCAAAAAGCUCAGUGAUGAAGUUGACGCCUACAAGGUAGAAUGGGUGGGAGCCAAGGUCAGAUUCGUCAAGAUGGCAAAGAAAUUCACUUCAAGUGCCGCUGCUCCUGUGCACAUUGAAGUCACUCCGGCUGAAGCAUCUGCUCAAGCCACUGAAGGAAAUGCCAGCACCUGUGAUGAAAAUCAGGCAGCUGAUGAAACUACAAGUACCAGGGUGCUACCUCUUGAGCACUAUGUUGGUUUUCCCUUGAAGAGGAAAGGGUGAUGCAGCAAAGUAGCGUAAGUAUUUCCCUCAGUUUUUGAGAACUAAGGUAUCAAUCUAGUAGGAGGCUCCUCAAAAGUCCCACGCACCUACACAAACAAAGAAGAACCUCGCAACACGAUAAAGGGGUUGUCAAUCCCUUCACGGAAACUUGUGAAAAGUGAGAUCUGAUAGAGAUAAUAAGAUAAGAUAAAUAUUUUUGGUAUUUUUAUGAUACAGAUUGGAAAGUAGAGAUGCAAAUAAAAGUAAAUCGGAAACUUAUAUGAUAAAAGAUAGACCCGGGGGCCAUAGGUUUCACUAGUGGCUUCUCUCAAGAUAGCAUAAGUAUUAUGGUGGGUGAACAAAUUACUGUCGAGCAAUUAGAAAAGUGCAUAGUUAUGAGAUUAUUUAGGCAUCAUCAUGUAUAUAGGCAUCACGUCUGCAACAAGUAGAUCGAAACGAUUCUGCAUGUACUACUAUUACUCCACACAUCGACCGACUCCUGCCUGCAUCCAGAGUAUUAGGUUCAUAAGAAUAGAGUAACGCAUUAAGGAAGAUGACAUGAUGUAGAGGGAUAAACUAAUGCAAUAAGACAUAAACCCCAUCUUUUUAUCCUCGAUGGCAACAAUACAAUACGUGCCUUGCUGCCCCUGUUGUCACUGGGAAAGGACACCGCAAGAUUGAACCCAAAGCUAAGCACUUCUCCCAUUGCAAGAAAGAUCAAUCUAGUAGGCCAAACCAAACUGAUAAUUCGAAGAGACUUGCAAAGAUAACCAAUCACACAUAAAAGAAUUCAGAGGAGAUUCAAAUAUUUCUCAUAGACAAACUUGAUCAUAAACCCACAAUUCACCUGAUCUCGACAAACACACCGCAAAAAGAGUUACAUCGAAUAGAACUCCAAGAAGAUCGACGAGAACUUGCUAUUGAGAUUCAAAGAGAGAGAAGAAGCCAUCUAGCUAAUAACUAUGGACCCGAAGGUCUGUGGUAAACUAAUCACAACUCAUCGGAGAGGCCUUGGGGAUGAUGUAGAGGCCCUCCGUGGUUGAUUCCCCCUCCGGUGGAGCGCCGGCGAAGGCUCCAAGAUGGGAUCUCGCGGGAUACAGAAGCUUGCGGCGGUGGGAUUAGGUUUUCGUUCUGCUCGUGGAUGUUUUUAGGGUACGUGGAUAUAUAUAGGAGGAAGAAGUAGGCCAGUGGAGCCAUGAGGGGCCCACGAGGGUGGGGGCGCACCCACCCCCUUAGGGCGCGCCGGGCACCCUCGUGGUCGCCUCGUUCACUUCUUGACAUCCCCUCCAAGUCUCCAGGGUUGCGUUUGUUCCAAAGAGAUCGCUCUCGAAGGUUUCAUCCCGUUUGGACUCCGUUUGAUAUUCCUUUUCUUCAAAACUCUGAAAUAGGCAAAAAAGACAGCAAUUCGGGCUGGGCCUCCGGUUAGUAGGUUAGUCCCAAAAUGAUAUAAAAGUGUAAAGUAAAGCCCAUAAACAUCCAAAACGGGUAUAAUAGCAUGGAACAAUCAAAAAUUAUAGAUACGUUGGAGACGUAUCACAGGGCUGCUGAAGAAAUUCCAGCCUCUGAAGAAACUGCCAGGGCAACCACUAGUGUUGCGCCUGAAGAACAAGUCAGGACAGCUGAGGAAUCUGAAGCUGUGCCUGAAGAAAUUGCUCAAGACAGGCCAACUGCAUCAGUUGUGCAUGAAGAAAUUGAUCCUACUCCCUCUGCUCCGCCUGCACCAACACCAAGCCCAAUUCUUCCUUUUGCUCUGGAAGUGAAGAAAAUCAAAGCAGCAGAGCGAGCUGCUCUGAAGAAGAGGAAAGCAUCAGCUGCCUCAGAAUCUUCUACCCCAAAGAAGGCGAAGAUUUUGACAAGUUCAAUUGAUAAUCCCAUUGAUGUUGUUCCUCUUUCAAGCAUACCAUCAAAGGAACUUGUUCCUUACGAUGAAGAAUAUCAGAUUCCUGAAGAAGAUCCCACUGUUGCUUCCACAGAACAGAUGGAUGAAGAAUUUGAAGCUGAUGUUAUCACUUCAAUUCCUCAUGUAUCAUCGCCGACGCCUCAGUUCACUGCCGAAGAGACCGGUGUUGAAGAAAUAGAAGUGGAUGAGGAUGUGGAUAUUGGCUGUACCACUCCAGUGAUGAACGAUGGUUUUUGGGACGGUCAACACCCCAACUCUCCUCUGUUCACACUACUACAGCAAAUUCCUCAGUCCCCAGCUCCAACUGAAGUUCUGAUGGGCUCUGAAGAAAUUCAUGCUACCCCUUCCAUUCAUGAAGAAAUUCCAACCACUAGUGCUGAUGAAAAUACUGCUGAACAAAUGGAGGCCCAGGCUGCAAAUGAAGCAGAAACUUAAAUUCCUCAGCCUGCGGCUCCAAAACUUGAGAUUCCAGAGGUUAUUCUUCAACUAACUGAUACUCCUUAGCCCCAGCCGAAGAAUCCAUUCUCUAAAACUCCGAAGUUCAAGGAUGAUGCCUUCUUCAAUGAGCAUGUAUUCUUCACUGAUUACAAUCCCUAUGAUUCUGCUCGUCUGAGGAGGAAGCGCUUCUGGACAGCCAGUCAAGCAAAUUUAUAUUCUUCAGUGCUUUUCAACAAGGAUAAAGUCUUCGACCAUGAGCAUAUUCCUCACUUGGAUAUGGAAUCACUGCCUUGCUUCACGUCAGUCCUCGCUUGUAUUCAUGAUGUUGGACUGCUAAACUUCUGCACUGGCAUCUGUGAUUGGAAUGAGGAACUUAUUCUUCAAUUCUAUGCGACACUGCACAUCACUAGCAAUGCUGAAGAUGUGAACUCAUGGGUGUUGGACUGGAUGACAGAAAACACUCACUAUAAGGCACCAUCCACUGAAUUGUUUCGUGCCAUGCCUGUCAGUCCUUCCCCAGAAGGUGCGCGUCUGGUCUAUUCUGAAGCUGAACUAUCUGAUCACUUCAUGCAAGUGUUGAUGAAGCCAUUGAAGCCUGGUCAAUCCUCAAGGAAAAAAUUCCUUGUGAAGGAAUUGAAUAUGUGCCUAGGACUGUCUACCGCAUCCUGACGAAGACAUUGAGUCCAAUCAAAGGCCACGACUCAAAUGAUGAAGAAGUCGUUGGCAUCAUGAAGAAUCUGCUUUUCAACAUCAUGCACGGUAUUCCCGUGAACUACCAUGAUUUCUUCAUGAGGACUUUGGCAAACGUUGCAAUGUACCCGUUUGAGUUGAAGCAUUACGCUCCUUGGAUUAUGAGAUUCAUCAGAUCAAGGUCUUCACUCAACUACAAAGCUGAUACACUCAACCAUGGCAGCUACUUGCCCCCAAUUAAAGUCCUCAAACAGACAUUUUCCUCAGCUGAUGAAAAGGGCAAGGCCGCUACUAUUAUUGAUGAGGGCAUUCGACCAUUGGAUGGACAGUUUCACAAAGCUGCUUCAUACUCCACCAAUGAUGACUCUGCUACUCAUGAUUCUGCUGCCAAUGCAUCUAAGCAAAGUCCUCAGGCAACAGCUCCAAGGGUGAUGACUCAUCGUGAGCUUCUCCUUAGUCUUCAUCAAAAGGUGGAUCGCAAUCAUAAAUGGUAAAGCGUCGGUUUGGUUCUAUUCUUCACAACAUGACUACCACAUAUAAUUCAGUGAAGAAGAACCAUUACUACCUCAAUGAAGUUUUUUAUUGCACGUGGGCUAUUCUGUCUCAUCUCUAUGGUGAUGAGGAUCUCAAGCAAAUGGGCUUCAAGCAGGACUUCGGCUGGUAUAAGCCUCCUCCGAAGAAAUUCAAGAAGGUUGAAGUUCCUCCUUUGGUGCCCAGUUCAUAUUCCUCAUCCCGCGAUACUGAUGAAAAUGAAGAUCUGGACGACACUGCGGCAGGCCCGGCUACAACAAACGACCCCAACAACACUGACGCUCCUCCAUCGACUUCGUGAUGAAAUUCCUUAGGGGCGUUAGUCCUUACUUUUUGUCCCUUUUGGUCAUUUGAUGACAAAGGGGGAGAAAUUUGAGUUAGUCUUCAAGCGGGUCUUUAUAUAUGGGCAUUUUUUUAAGUUGCAACUCUCGCUCUUCUAAAACUUUUGUUGUAUGAGUUGUAAACUUAAGUCUGAUGGUGACCUGAUACUUCUACUCUGUUUUUCUGCAUGCUAUUUCCUCAUUAAUGUUACGCAUGCAUGCUGAAUUACAUCAGUCACCAUAUUUCAUCAUGCAUUUCAAAUUCUUCAUUUCAUAUGUUAAAUGUGUGUAUGAAUUACAAGAUAUAGGGGGAGUUCUCCAUGAUUCUACUCUUCAAUUGUGCAUUGCUUCAAAAUCAAAUUCCUCACUAUGCACAUCCCCAGGGGGAGUUCUUCUAUAUCUUGCAAUCAAAUUCCUCAAUAUUGAGUACUCUCAAUUCAUAUGUUUAUCCCCGUUGAAAACUUAACCUAUAUUGUCAUCAAUCACCAAAAAGGGGGAGAUUGUAAGUGCAUCUAGUGCCCCUUAGUGAUUUUCGUGUAUUGAAGACUUAUAGGUUAAGGGACUAAUAUGUUUGUGAGUGUACACAGGCUCUAUAAGUCAAUGAGGAGUUUGAUAUUUACAGUGAAAGUCGACCCCUAAAAAUGAAGGUCUUCGGCUGAAGACUUUGGUUCCCCUGAAGACUUUGAAAGUGAAAAAAUUGGUGUGACCUUGAAGACUUCGAUAUUCAUGCGAGAAAUUUGAAGUGUGAAGACUUGUUUUCGUAGUUUCAUUUUCUUCUUCUUGAGUCAUAGGAAACACUGUACUAUUAAAGGGGUUCGAGGUAAUACUAAGGAAACUGAUUUCCAAGUGAUGCUCGUCUCAAAAUCCUACACCUGCCCAAUCCUUCGAGUGAACCCAUUGGAAAUUUCAUAUCAGUUCAGUCAAUUUCUUCAUUGAUAGAGACGAAGAUCUUCUGUUCUCUGAGGAAUUUGUCCUGACUGAGGAGUUAGGAUUUCGCCAGUGCGAAUUGCCUACACAGUGAGGAACAUGAUAGCCCUGAGGAAUUUGGAACCUCAAAUCCGACCGUUGUUGUGCCAUGUGUGAGCUGUCCAAAAUAUCCUAUCACCUAACGGUCAUAUCAGACAAGGGCAUUUAUGUCUUAUCAUGUCGGGCUGCUCCCUAGGCAAUAAAUAGCCGCCCCCUACAACUACUAGCUGGUUGGCUGCUCCGAGAGAAACUGACACUUGUCAUUUGAGAGCAUCCCAUCCUCCAAGGACUUUGAGCGAAAAUCAUCAAGUGGGGAAAACCCAAAUCACAAACCCAAACCUACAAACCCCAAAGUUAUUGAGCAUCACUGAAGAGAUUGUUCCUGUGUGGAACCGAUGCUUAUUACCUUUGAGGAUUGUGUAUCCUCCAGAUGGUUAGGCGUCAUGGUCUGAGCAUCCAAGAGGAAUUGUGGAUUGCCGAGUGACCAAGUCUGUGAAGGUUUGGAAGUCACCUGUGAAGACUUACCACUACUGUUGGGCGAGGUCUGUGUGAUCUUAGUUCAAGGAGAAUAAGGUGAGGACUGUGUGUCCUCGAGUUGAAAUACUCAGCCGCUCCAACCAGACGUACAACUGUCACAGCAGUUGGAACUGGUCUAUCAAAUCAUUGUCUUCACCAAGCCUACUGGUUCUAUUUCCUCAACCCUUUUAUUUCCUCAGUUAUGUUUUGAUGAACCUGAUCAUUAUUGUUUGAAGACUCUGACUGAAGACUUUCUCUAAUUCCUCAAUCAUGUUUCUUCAGUUUGUUUUGUCUUCAUCCUGCUUAUUCUGUGUUUAUGCUUCCUGUAUUGUGUGUUUGUCUUUCAUUUCAUCAUGAUGACUAUGUUGUUGCUGUGUUAUGCUUAUACCUGAGUACUUAUUCCGUUGCAAGUAGUUCUUCUCUUAGAAAUUUCCUCACCCUGAAAUUCCUCAGUGAAGAAUUCAUAAAAAUCGCCUAUUCACCCUCCCCCCUCUAAUCGACGUAAUGCACUUUUAGCGGCACCCACCUGGCGGUAGAACUGCUUGAUGUGGCGGUUUGAGGGUGGCGCCUGUGAGCCACCCAGGAGAGUUGCGAUGGCGGGAGGCGUCGGUGCCGCGAAGUGCGUGAUGAAGAGGUUGCGCAGCUCCUCCCUAGAGGCCACAGAAUACUCCGACAAGCUGAGCAGCCAGGCGCGCACGAGGGCCAUGGGGAACCAGUUGGCCAUCACCUUGUCGUCCCCGCCGGCUGCCCAAACUGUCUCAUUGUAUGCCUGGAGGAAGCCAGCCGGAUCCGCCGCACUGUAGUAGCAGGGCGACAUCUCUGGCCUGAACUUGAGUGGCCACUGCACCCGCCGCAAGGCGGGGGUGAAAGCGCGGAGGCCCAUGGCUCCCCCAAGGGUGCGCGACGACCCAGUCGGCGGAGAAGCACCUGCCAUCGGAGUCGGCGACGAAAUGCGGUGGACGAAGCGGCGGAUCCCUGACGCACCCCUACCUGGUGCGCCAAAUUUCGAAUUUCGGGUUCCGCAAACCGUUGAGAGGUUCGAACUUUGGGGUGCGUGCGGAGAUCUCAACCUACCCAGUCUGCCUACUCGCUAAUCUCACAGCCUAUCGCGUCGAGCUUGAAGGGAAAGGAAGACACAACAUUUUACCCAGGUUCGGGCCACCUUGCGGUGUAAAAUCCUACUCCUGCUUUGUUAGUGGAUUUGCCUUGAGGGGCUGAGGAAAAACUAGUACAGUGAAGAAACAGCCUUAAGGGACGUGUUCUUGAGCUCAAGUGAGCUGGUGAGGUGGUGAGGGUGGAAUGGAUCCGAGCCCUCCUGUUGGUGGUGGCUAGGUCCUAUUUAUAGUGGUCUUGAUCCUCUUCCCAAACGUAGGCGGGAAGGAAUCCUACAACGGCCAAAUUUGAAGGGAGACAACAAGUACGUCAUAUCCUGACUAAAGUGGUCUUCGCCUGCAAAAGCCUCUGGUCGUGACCCUACGGUGGGCUCGGUGGUGACCUCCGUCCUGCCGUCCUGGCGGUCUUGGUCUUGUUGCACCAGAAUGGUAACAUUUGGUUGAUUCCUCGGGACUCUGCGCCUGUUGCUUGUCUCCUUUGCACCGAAGAGGAAACUGAUACUCUACGCCCGCUGACGCCCGCCUGGCCUUGGUCGUCAUGGCUCACGUCAGCCAAACCUCGCGACAUGAGCCUUGCAUAGAAAUCUCCGCUCCUCGGGAGCCAGCCUGAGGGGGCCGAUUCCCUUGAAGGUCUUGGUGUCGUCCGCCUCGCGAGGGUCUUGAGUUGUUGAUGCCGAAGCUGGGUCGUACCAGACCGUUGAUGGAGCCACGCCGUGGGCCGCAGGAAGGCAAGUAUGACUACCCCGUAUCUAGAACGCCGACACAUUCACCAAAUAGAUUUGGCAUUUAGUAAUUCUCUAAUGAGUUGAUGAUAAAUAUAGGGAAGCAGAUGGAUAUGUUUCGUUAUCUCACAAGAUACAAACAGUAAAAAAGCACUUAUUUCCAUAUUAUUGACCAAAUAUUUGAUUUUGCUUAUUAUUCUUUGGAACGAGAGAGGGCUGUAGGGGUCUGCCUUUAACAAGACAAUGUGUACUUGACAUGUAGGUACACCAUGCCCGUAGUAGGUCUAGAUUUUUAUUUUGGAGAAAGCAAAGUACUGCCCCUGUGGUCUGUUGUGUGCCCACUUCUUGCUGCAUGCAUGCCCUGCUCUCUCUGCACAUCUUUUUCAGUUUUCCCUCUUUCCUCAGUUCUUCUUCCUCACCUGUCUGUCUGUAGUCUGUUCCUCUCCAGCAAAGGACAAAACAACCAAAGCUGCAUGGUUCUUGUACCAUUAUUAUUUUGCUCGGGUUCUAGUAGUUUAAAAUAAAAUAAUUCAGGGACCCACACGCAUGCUUCCGUGUGCUUAGUCCAAAGCCCCAGCUGUGACUUGGAUUACCCAUGCCCCAAAUGGUGAUUGGACUUAUUAUGCCAUGGAAGCAGGCAAUGACAAACAAAUGAUUUGUGGAAUGGUUGGAAAAGUUUGAGGGAAGCGGCACAUGGAGAGAGGACUUGUGUGUGUCCCUUCCUCCGGUCCUCCUCUCCUCCCCUUGCUUGUCAAAUGCUUUAUCACUGGCAAGUGGGUCCAACCGAGUUACCACAGGGAUUGGGCCUAUGUGUCAGCCGCUGUGAGCGAGGGAAUGUGUUUGAAUGUGUGCAAGUGCUUUUCUGGUCAUUACGUGUAGGUGGGUGUACUUAAGUAGGGUUCCAAGUUGUAGGAGACUUUUGGUGAGUUGUAACAGAAAGAGUAGGACUAGGAGGGACAGAGAAAGCGCUGAUGUGGAAAUACAAUGCCAAUCAACGCACAUCAUGGGAACACUGGUCAAGGCAUUGGUCCUUUCAUGUUUUUAUAAAUCAAGCGUGCCAAUUUCCCUGACACGUGUAUUACUGAUGUUUUAGGCCAUGCGUUUUUCUCAGCUUAUUUUGGAUCAUCUUUGGGAAGGAGUUUUUAGACGAGUACAACUCGCGCACCAGUCAGUUCACUCAAAAACUUAAUCUAAUAAAAAAAUAUGAUAUGUAUUAAUACAUCAACAAAACAAACCAUUUAUUCGUGAAAAUUUCGUGUGAAAUCCAUGCGCCAUCUAAUUGACCACUUGAGUAGUACUUAUAGACCAGCUCUUGGAGACUCGACACCUCGACCCGAUCAGCAUAACAACCGUCAAUUUGACGAUUUUGGUUGAAUUGGACGAACUAGAAGAGUCAUCAUCCCGUUCUGGAUCGCCUUAAUAAAUUGCAAUAAUAACAUAUAUAUAUAUAUAUAUAUAUAUAUAUAUAUAUAUAUAUAUUAUAUAAGUUUAUCACAAGUAUAAAACACCUCAAACACAAUAAAAAUUACAUCGAGAUUCUGAGACCACCCAACAACCACUACCGUCACCAAAAAGUGUCAUCGUUGUCGCCGCUCCGACCUUAUCAAUGACAACCUGGAGGCCUUCGUGCACGUGCCCUAAGGACCAGCAUCUUGGAGCCGAAUUCAUCGCCAUUGAACCCUUGAACUGAUUCGAAGCACUUNNNNNNNNNNNNNNNNNNNNNNNNNNNNNNNNNNNNNNNNNNNNNNNNNNNNNNNNNNNNNNNNNNNNNNNNNNNNNNNNNNNNNNNNNNNNNNNNNNNNNNNNNNNNNNNNNNNNNNNNNNNNNNNNNNNNNNNNNNNNNNNNNNNNNNNNNNNNNNNNNNNNNNNNNNNNNNNNNNNNNNNNNNNNNNNNNNNNNNNNNNNNNNNNNNNNNNNNNNNNNNNNNNNNNNNNNNNNNNNNNNNNNNNNNNNNNNNNNNNNNNNNNNNNNNNNNNNNNNNNNNNNNNNNNNNNNNNNNNNNNNNNNNNNNNNNNNNNNNNNNNNNNNNNNNNNNNNNNNNNNNNNNNNNNNNNNNNNCCCUCCCUGCCGAACACGGCCAAACAACUAUCUCACAAUGAAGCAAGACUAUCGUUGUCAACGGCAAUUGCCACCACGUUUCCUAUUGCCCACGGCUAUCAAAAGGUCGUUGGCAUGUCCCACCUAGCUCAUAUCCCUGCCGCCACCCAUAACCUCAACUCCUCCCCCUUCCGCCAUCGUCGUUCACAGACAUUGUUCAAAAUAAUCUAAGGUGGAUCACCUAAUGCUCAGUAUAAUUAAACACCUAUGAUAUGAAAAAAGUCGUUAAUCGAGUCGAGCACCAUCGCCGAAAUCGGCACCCCGCCAUCAAAAUUACACCCAUGAGGAAAAAAUCCCUGGCCCCAUUGCCAUCCGUCUCACCGCUUGCGCUCAGCUCCAUCCUUGCCCUCGUCGUCGUAUUCAUGGUUGUCCUCGCCCUCGCCGCGUUCGUGACCGACGAUGUCAACCUUGUCCCCGUCGUCAUGUUGUGAUGUGUGUGACUGGCGGCUGCUGCAACGACAACCGUUUUGUGGUCGACGGCGACCGCUUGGCUAGUGUGUUUGCGCUGACAUGUGUGAUGUGCGAAGUGUGGCCAUGUCGUGGCCGUCGCCGGCCUGUUGAUGUGAGUGAAGUGAAGUAGAAGGUGAAAAAUUAGAAGAAGAUAAAGUAUGUUGAGAAUAACGUACGAGCCACAUAUGUGAGAAAUUUAUUGAGACUAAGAUACGACGACUUUGAAUUUGCACGUCGUUUGUCCAACCUUCAGUACGUUAUGGAGUGCGCUUUAUAUAAUAAUAUAGCAACUCCGAUUAUGACGAAUGUGCUAGAGUUGCUCUUAUAUCAGAGUGAGACACAUAGAGUAUGUGUUUUUCCUAGCACAAGUUUGAUAAGUGGGGAUCUCAGUAACUAGUGGCCUGUGGCAAAGUUGUUGAUGUUCAUUUUAUGGUGGGGCAAAUGGCAAGGUUUUGCAGGCAGCAUACACUUUGCCUAGGUAUCCUUUGUUUUGUUUAUUCCCACAUGCUCAUGUGCAGUGCCCCAAAGAAACAGAAAUCCUUGCUUAUGUGUAGCAGUGCUGUGCCGGGCAUUGUGCUUAAUCAGCACAAGAUGCCACGGAGAGGGGGGCUAGCUUUGAAGCGUGUAGUCUUUGGAGGAAAGGAAAUGAAAGCAUGUAGGCAGAGGUCCCCUUCAACAGUAGUAGUAACACUGUGAGAGCGAUCGCUUGCCUCGAGGUCAAAGCCUACAAAAGUCCAAGCAAGAGACUACUGGGGCUAAAGCUCUUUGCAAUCCGAAUAUGUUUUCAGGCUUGCAUGGUUAACGUUGGAGUUGUUUACGGUUGCUUUGGCACCUUCUCAUCGCGUACGUUCGUAGAUUACAAGCGACGUCGUCCUCAUGCUUUCAGCCGUUCCCAAUGCCCGGGUCAAUCGCAAGGCCCAUCCCCAACAUCCCAGUUUUGGUGACAUGGCCGGGUUGGGUCUCUGCCCUGCUUAUAGCAAAAUAAAAAUAAAAAAAAUCAACAAAGGGCAAUACACAUCCUUUUUGUAGGAAAGCAAAUUUUAUUACUCAAAUGGACUUGUUAGACAAUGCCUGCGAUCUCAUCUGCAGAUAAUAAUAUCAAGGCGAUAUCAAUUUCACCAGACCUCUGCAACAACACAAUAUCAAGCCAAUUUGAGACAUCGAGAAUGCAAACAACCAGAACUAUUAAACAGAAAAGGAAGAAUAAAAAAUAAUAAAUGACACGGCCAACAACUUGCAACACAUAACCAGCAAAACUUUCCAGCGCCCUUGAGAACACCUAAACUACGAAAAAUGUUACUCCAAAGCAACGCCUCCAUGAAGGGAACGAUGCACAGGUGCCGCCAUCGUCGGAUCCAACCACUAAAACGGCAAAUCUUGUUUCACCAAGGAGAGCACGUCUAAGGAAUCUCCAUGCAAUGCAUUCAAGGACACGACAUGUAAAUACCGUCCUUACAAGAUGCAACCACCAAAGGCUAGACCCAAGACCCGAUACUGAGUAGAACACCACCAAACCGUAGUCUUCUAGUGUUGCCGCCCCCACUAUUCAAAGAAGACGAUGUUGUAUGGAGGGGAACACACACAUGCCAUGGUCACGGGAAAUUGAAAUAUAAAAAAGUUCAUGGUGUAAAUGACUAGAGACAGCCGCUCUCGUGCUUAACCAUGGAGUGAACAUCAUAACCCAAACAAGGCCAUGCCUGCGAACACAGAUUAUCGCAGAACGGAAGAACCCAACGCCGUCAACAACUUCGCACGUGCACGUGUUCCAAAGCCAGUGCGGUAGACCCUUGACGGCAACUAUGGCGUCGAGAUGUGGCAAGUCGUAGCUGCACCAUCCCCACCCCACUGUUGCACCUCAUCAAGUUGAAUCGUCGCUACCACAUCACCGAUGAAAUCGAUGACACCCCCUUCCCCUCGAGCCGCCAUUGGAAGGCCAUAUCGUAUGACCCACUGCCUCCACUGCUCUUGGUAUGAAAUCCAGAGUCGGCUAUCGCACCACCCACAUGGGCAAGCCGUGAGUGGAUAGAUCUAGCAACUGAUGGAGGAGCAACAAAGGCAAGCCAAACUCGAUCGUAUUAAGGCUUGCCUGAGAAAGGUUGCACGCGGCAGGAGAUGCCAUCAGGGAAACCACCGACCAAUGUAUUAUGCAACAGAGAGAAGACCUCCAGAUGAGAAGAAAACCCGCCAUCCGUGGAGUGGAGCGCCCCACCGCCAUCUUCUUAGGCAUCCACGCAAGCUUCUCCCGCAGUUGGCCUCUGGUGGCGGCAAAAUGGGAGUGAGGAGGAUGGGCUAAGAGGCGACGACGUGACAUUCUCCGAGUCGACACACCUGGGAUUACCAGUUGUCGUGAAUCUUCCGUCGACGCAUGAUAUCGGCUGGAUUUCACCGAAUGUCGUACCCCAUUAUGAUUCGCAAAUCUUGGCAUACCCAUUUUUGAAUUUAAGAUGUGUAGUGUAGGUUAGGUGAACGAGAUAUACUAAGGAGUGAGGGGUCUACAGAAAUGAAAUGUUGCCAAGGUGAGAGAGAGGGAAAGGUCUUGUUCCUCUUGUUGCUUGAAAUAGACAAGCUCGGGUUUGAAAUGUCAAUAAGGAACAAGUUUUUUAAGUUGAUACUAAAUAUACCCGAUCUUUGGUACAAUAUGAUGCCAAUGGCUAGUGUAGACAUAAAGGGUGCACACAAGUAUAUUCUGAAUGCGAUGAGCAAGCGACUACCAAAUUUAACAUUCUCUUAGCUGCUUUUAGAGGCUACUGCAAAGAUCUAACUUCUCUAGAUAUGCAACUUGAUGAUACACCCUAUAUGAAGAUCUACAACAAGAUACCUUUUUUGCGAGGAAAUUUCUGAUCUAUUCAUCAACUGUCAAGGUAAUGCAAAGAACACUAGAAGUAAAAUUUACAUCCACGUUUGUAGACCACCUAGCGAUGACUACAAGCACUGAAGUGGAUCGAAGGCGCGCCGCCGUCAUUGCCCCUCCCUUGUCUAAGACGGGUAAACAUUGUUGUAGUAGAAAGUCGGGAAGUCGUUGCGCUAAGGCCCCAUAGGACCAGCGCAGCAGAACAACAACCGUCCCCGAUGAAGAGAGGCGUAGAUCGGAUGGAUCCAACAUGCAGACACACAGACAUAGACAGACGGAGACCGGAUCCAGGCGGACCCACCGAAGACAAACGCUGACCGGAUCCCAUGAGAUCCGCUGGAGACACGCCUCCACACGCCCUCCAAUGACGCUUGAAGCAUCACCAGGGGGGUGUCGGUGUCAAAACCGGCAGAUCUCGGGUAGGGGGUCCCAAACUGUGCGUCUAAGGCUAAUGGUAACAGGAGACGGGGGACACAAUGUUUACCCAGGUUCGGACCCUCUCUAUGGAGGCAAUACCCUACUUCCUGCUUGAUUGAUCUUGAUGAUAUGAGUAUUACAAGAGUUGAUCUACUACGAGAUCGUAGAGGCUAAACCCUAGGAGCUAGCCUAUGAUUAUGAUUGUUGUUGUCCUACGGACUAAACCCUCCGGUUUAUAUAGACACCAGAGGGGGCUAGGGUUACACAGAGUCGGUUACAGAGAAGGAAAUCUACAUAUCCGAAUUGCCAAGCUUGCCUUCCAUGCAAAGGAGAGUCCCACCCAGACACGGGACGAAGUCUUCAAUCUUGUAUAUUCAUAGUCGAACAGUCCGGCAUACGCAUAUAGUUCGGUUGUCCGAGGACCCCCUAAUCUAGGACUUCCUCAGUAGCCCCUGAACCAGGCUUCAAUGACGAUGAGUCCGGCGCACAGAUUGUCUUCGGCAUUGCAAGGCGGGUUCCUUCUCCGAAUACUCCAAAGAAGAUCUUGAACACAAGAAUUGUGUCCGGCUCUGCAAAACAAAUUCCAUAUACCACCAUAGAGAGCACAAUAUUCCACGAGUCUAAUCUUCUGACAACUUUUACUUGGCGUGACAUCACGCCACGGCCCGGUUAUUAUUCAAACCGCUUUUCCAACCUGCCACUACAUGUUUUGUGAGGCGGUCUUAUUGGCACGUCUUGUCAAAGCAGAGAUCGUGUCCCCCAUUAUUACGUGAUUCUCGUCAAUACGGGCGUGGGUAACCCAACCGGGCCAUUAGUACGACUCCUUGGUUUAGGCAAGUUCCAAACGGCCGCGCGGAGGACGCUUGAUAUUCUUCCUCUAUAUAAAGAGGUCUAGUCCUGUCAUUUUCUUUCCACGCCUUAUCCCCCCUUUUCCUCCCCUCGAGUUCUAGCACCCUAGGUUCGGUCCAAGCGCUCCGGACCUUCAAUCAUGUCCGGAUCCAACCUUCAAGGCCGGUGGAUGGCCUCUUCUAUUACAGAGGAGGAUAUCAAGAAGCUUAGGGAGGCUAGGUAUCUGACCGCUGAAAUCCUUCACAGGCUUCCUGCCUAAGGGCAGGUUAUUCCUACUCCCAAACCCAACGGGAGCGUCGUAUUCGUCUCCCACUUCCUCCGAGGGCUAGGCUUCGGUCUUCAUCCCUUUGUUAGAGGGCUCAUGUUCUAUUAUGGGCUAGAUUUUCAUGAUCUAGCCCCAUAUUCCUUCCUUCACAUCUCGACGUUCAUCGUUGUGUGUGAGGCCUUCCUCCGCAUUACCCCACACUUUGGCCUAUGGCUCAAGACCUUCAAUGUGAAGCCGAAGAUGAUCGACGGGCGACACGCGGAGUGUGGAGGCACUAUAAUAAGCAAGGUGUCGACGCUCCAUGGCCAAAGGGCUCUUUCCCGGAAGUUUCUGACCUAUGGCAACGGGAGUGGUUUUACAUCACCGUGCCUCGAGGGAGUAAGUGGGCGGCCGCUCCGGCCUUCCGCUCUGCCCCUCCGCCACAACUUGCAUCAUGGGUCAACAAGGGGCUAGACUGGGGAUCAGUAAAUGACGUGUCGAUAUUGCAAAGCCGCAUUCGGGAUCUCCUCAAGAGGGAUAUUAAUCUCGUUAAAGUAAUUCGAGCAAUGCUAGUCCGCCGGGUCCUGCCAUGCCAACGUCGAUCUCUCCGCAUGUGGAAGUUCAACCCGAAAGGACCGUGAACCAUUCAGCACUUCUUCGGUGUGACGCUUGAAGGGAUGUAUCGAUUAUUCUUCGGAUCACGAAUAAAGUGUCCGGACACAACAGAGGAUGCGGGUCUCAACUGCAAUCGUCCAGAUACCCAAGUAAGUAACUCCGCGACCGAACAUGUUGUCAUUAUAUUUGUCACAACAUUAUUCUGAAAAACCACCCUCGGCGAGGACUGGAUAAGAAAGGCAGAGAGGAUCAGGUGUUCGGCCCCUCUUCCCAAAGAUUCGCCGGAUCCUGUACUGACCAGGAUGCUGGCUCGCGCACCUUAUCAAGUGCCAUCAGGGGAGGACAAGGAGAAGAAUGAGGAAGCCAAAAGCGGACUUCAUACUGGAGGUACGUUACGCAUCCUAACCGGGGAAAUUAGUACUCUUGUGUCGAAGGGUGAACGGGCAGGAGAUUCUAUUAUCCCUUCUCCCCACGGGAAGAAAAGGACCACCCCUGAUGAUUUGUAAGCAGAGGUCUCCAAAUGAGGGAAGAAAUCUUCAUCGGGGGGCCCUGCCUUGGAGGGCAACCUUACCGCACAGCGCCCACAAGGGGGCCAGCCGUCAACCGAGUCGUAAGUGAACAAAGGUACUUUAGUAAGCAUGCUCUGUUCUUUUCUUGAGAAUAACAACCGAGACAUAUGUUUUGCAGUUUAGCUCAUAGCCUCCCUCAACAAAGUUCGUCUUCGGUGGAUCUUCUUCCGGAGAUGAUGGAGAGCGAAACGCCUCCUCCUACUUCUCCGCCUCAUGAGGCGGACGACCCUGAGGUGUCAUCCCGGAGGAUCUCUCCCGAUCCGCAAAGACCAGAAGGAAACUCUUCGGUCGUCUGAAGUAUGGGGUUUUCAGCUCCUAGAGAGACCAACAGAAAAAGCCCCGGAUUGUCCGAUGUGCAACCGGACACAUUGACGGGUCUUCUGCAGCAAGCGGCUAUCUCAGAGGCACAUUGUACCUUAAUGGGUAUGGUGGUUGAGAGGAUUUCAUACACAAAAAGCGGGUUGAAUGAAGCUUUUACGAGCCUGCUAAGAGGCUUUGAGGUACGCAAAGUGAUAUAUAUAUUUUUUAAUGUACCGCACACGCAAGGUGUACUCUGUAUAGAUAGUAGCCCCUGAGACUCUGGUUGCCAUCCGGACGAGGCGAGCAGAGGAUCAUAGUCUCUGGUAAUGAUGGUGCCAAUUUUGUCUGCAGGCGGCUGUAGAUCCCGCGGCUGACCGGACUGCUGAAUUUACCGAACUGAGGGGGAAACUUGACGUGGCGGAUGCGGACAUCACGCUUGUGAACAAGCGGCUUGACGAGGCACAUGGUAUGUAUAUUUGAGUGAUCAGCAAAUAUUAAUAAGAGCAUGAUGCUAAGAUUUAUAAUAUGCUUUGACUUCAGAUGGAGCUGCCGCCGUGGAGACCCUUCGGGCAGAACUUGCCUGGGCCAAGGAGCAAGCCAGGAGAAGUGAUGCGGCCGCCAUGAAGACAGCCGAAGAAUUAAAAUCCGAACAGGCUGCUCAUCGCCAAAGUGAGGAUAAAAUAGCCAACAUGGCUAUUGAGCUACAAAAUGCCGCCCGCCGACUCAAAAGGGAAAACCAAACGAAAACAGCUGACCUAGAGAAGGCCUUGCAAGCAACAAAGGAAACUCGCUCUGAAAUCAGAGUGGCACGGGAGGAGCUUCGGCAAGCCGGUGAUAUCGUGGCUGGGAAGCCCUUUUUAUUGCGAACGAAGUUCGGCGAUCCGAAAUAUGCCCCUCUUGAUCAAUUAUGGAGUUAUGUAGAUGUAUACUUGGAUUUAGCAAAGAGUGUUGCUGAUGCGACACAGUAUUUCAAAGAUCGAGAAGAUCAUGAGGUGGAAAGAUUGUUCUGGUCGCAGUUCAGUGCUCCAAAGCAUUCACUGCUGUUGAAUGAGCAAAUGGCCGAAUGGGCCGAGCUCCAUAGGUUAUCCGGACUUGCCAUGAAGGCCGUCGUGGACCACCUGUGGCCGAAGGAGCCAAGUCCGGAUAGUUAUUGUAGUUUGGUGCAAUGUUUUAUUCGUGAUGUGCCACAUAUCGACGCUAUCAAGAGGUCGGCGUGCAUAGAGGGUGCGCGGAUGGCCCUUGCCCGUGUUAAGACAUAUUGGGCGAAGAUGAAGGCCACCGAUAUUGCAACCAGGGGUCCGCCAGGGGGCCAGGACUCGCCCGAGCACUAUUUUGAAGAAUUCUUAGAGGGUGCCCGUUUAAUAGAGGCUCAGUCCUCAAAGAAUACCAUGUUCCAGUGACAUGUAUCUUAAUUGUAAAAACAAUGCUUGUGAUAAUAAAGGCUAUAUUUAUACUUUUGUCCAUAAAGUAUUGUAGUGCCUCCUGUGCGGCCGUUUAUGUAUAUAUGUAUAUAACCUGAAAGUUUGCAGUCGGCAGCUUCAGCCCCCACGCAUAUAAUGUCGGGGUGUUCGGCAAAGCGCGUAAUCACACUUGAUCCAACGUCUUGGUCCGUUAAGGAGGUGGUAGCGCGGCGAACAAGGCAAUCGGACUAUAUAGCUUUAACACUUUCACUUAGCCAUAGGAGUUUGACGGUGGGGCUACUAUAUAGCCCCUAGUAUGUCUGCGCUCAUCCGAAUACGGUGCGUGUACAUACGUGACCGGGAAACUGGUCCUUCGUUAAUGCGGAGGAAUCAUGAAGAUUCCGCUGGGUCAUCGAGUGGUUGACCAGUCUCUCGCUUUAUCAUGACAGUCGGUUUUCGGCUUUCUCUACUGAGGUGCUCAUCCAGAUGAACCAGGGCACAAUCGCAGUAGUUCUCCCGGUGCCACCUUAGCUAAUAGAGCGGAACGUAAGGUAGCAAAACACGGGAGCCAGAAAAACCAAACUAUUGACCAAAGACAUGAUUCGGAGCUGAUGCAUAUAAGGCCAAACUCGCGACGCCGAACACUCCCGAAGGUAUUUGGACUUUACAACAUAUACUGGGCUGAGUACCGCCCUCGAUAAUGAUCCCUGAAUUUCCGGGUACGUGCAUUAAUCCGGCGUGACGAAAGAGCGGUUGUGGUGAGGGCAUAAAUCCCAAAAACACAUUGGAUGCUGCCCUUGUAACGUCUAUUUUAGAUCGACGAAUCAUAAGCUUGCCAACAAUGCCAGUUUCCCUCUUGGUUAUUUGAAGUGCCCGGAGGGUGUGAGGCAACAAGAGACAAUAAAAAAAGGUUUACACAGGGUCUUAAUCUAAAAACUAACCUUGAAUGGGGCCCUGCUGCACGUCUGCGCCUUUUUCUCCGUUGUGCCGUAUCCUUGAAGGGUGUAGCACGAUAGUCAUCUAUAAAGAAAAAGGAAAAGCCUAGGUGAAAGAAUCUGGUGUGACCGUGUGAAAAGUUGGUUAUUCUUAAUGAACCAUUAGAGUUAAAUCUAUUGAGUAAUAAUAGGGUCAAGCCAAGCUAUGGACCCUUUUACAUGCGGGCAGCCCCUAGCACCACAUAUGGGGGCAUAGCCAUUAAUCAAGCUCAGGUUUAUCUGGGCUGCUACAACUAGUGGUGCGCCGAACACGUCUAGCCGUGUCCGUGGUCUCAAUGAUCGAUUAGUUACUUGGGUUGGAGAGGUCGUUCAGUGGUUCGGCUGCUAGAGCCGCCACAUAUUCUUCCGCACGCAGGGAACGCUCUGUAUUUCUGCUAAUUGUGAUGACGCCAUGUCGACCGGGCAUCUUAAGUUUAAGAUAAGCGUAAUGCGGUACUGCAUUGAAACGAGCGAAGGUCGUUCUUCCGAGUAGUGCAUUGUAGCCGCUUCUGAAUGGAGCGAUGUCAAAGAUUAGUUCUUCUCUUCGGAAGUUGUCGGGAGAACCGAAUACAGCUUCUAAUGUUAGAGCGCCCGUGCAGCGGGCCUCUACCCCUGGUAUUACUCCUUUAAAGGUAGUACUGCUUUAGCUGAUUCUUGACGGGUCUAUCUCCAUCUUGUGGACAGUGUCCUGAUAUAUCAGAUUAAGACUACUGCCGUCGUCCAUGAGGACUCGGGUGAGAUGGUAUCCAUCAAUUAUUGGGUCGCGCACCAAGGCAGCCGAACCUCCAUGCCGGAUAUUAGUCAGAUGAUCCCUGCGAUCGAAAGUGAUCGGGCAGGCUGACCAUGGGUUGAAUUUGGGGGCGACGGGCUCUACAGCGUAUACGUCUCGAAGUGCGCAUUUGCGCUUCCUCUUUGGUAUGUGGGUUGCGUAAAUCAUGUUCACUGUUUUGACCUCUGGUGGAAAUUUUUUCUGUCCCCCAGUGUUCAGCUGGCGAGGUUCAUCCUCGUCUUCACUUUGCGGCUCCCUCCCCUUGUGUUCGGCGUUUAGCUUGUCGGCCUGCUUGAAGACCCAGCAUUCUCUGUUAGUGUGAUUCGCAGAUUUCUCAGGGGUGCCAUGAAUCUAACAUGAUCUGUCUAGAAUUUUAUUUAGUCUGGACAGUCCAUCUCUGCUACCCUUAAAUGGCUUUUUCCGUUGACCGGGUAGAGAGCCCCUGAAUCCGGCGUUUACCGUCGUGUUUUCUGGGUUGUCUUCAUUAUUUCGACGCUUGUUUUUAUUGCGUCGCGGCUUCCCAUUGCCAUCCCUGAUUCCGGAUGUGCCUGGAUUGCUGGUGCCGCUGCGGGCCAACCAACUGCCCUCGCCCAUGCAAAAGCGGGUCAUAAGAGUUGUUAGGGCUGCCAUUGUCCUCGGCUUUUCCUGGCCGAGGUGUCUAACGAGUCAUUCGUCCUGGACACUGUGUUUGAAAGCUGCUAAGGCUUCGGCAUCCGGACAGUCGACGAUUUGGUUCCUCUUGGUGAGAAAUCUGUUCCAAAGCUUACGGGCUGACUCUCCGGGUUCUUGAAUAAUGUGACUCAAAUCGUCUGCAUCCGGAGGUCGGACAUAUGUCCCUUGAAAAUUAGCCCUGAAAGCGUCCUCAAUUCCUCCCAACUUCCAAUUGAAUUUUGGGGAGGCUUUUCAACUAGUGUCGAGCUGGUCCUUUCAACUUGAGGGGCAGGUAUUUGAUGGCGUGGAGAUCAUCUCCGCGAGCCAUAUGGAUGUGAAGAAUAAAGUCCUCAAUCCAGACUGCAGGGUUUGUCAUUCCGCCGUAUGCCUCGAUGUUUACGGGUUUAAAUCCCUCUAGAAAUUCAUGAUCCAGCACCUCAUCGGUGAAGCACAUGGGGUGUGCGGCGCCCCUGUAUUUGGAUGUGUCGUGGCGUGGGUCCGAUUGCUAUAGUGUUCGGUGUUGAUUCUGAGCUGGUAGUUGAUCAGUAUAGACGGUUUGGUGGCCGUGACCUUGCGUAGGAACACGUUUCCUAGAUCCAUAGAUGGACCUGGCCAUACCAGCUCUUUUGUCCAGGUGCUCACGUAGAUCAUGUGCUGACUUGUGUGCGGCGUCAUUAGCCGCUCUAUCUCGGCCACAGGGUGGUCGGUCCAGCAGAUCGGCCGUAUUGUUUUUUGGCGGGAUGGGCUCUAUAGUCUCGUCGUCGAAUUCGGGCAGUAGUGUGCGCUUUGAGUAGCUCUUUGUGUGGCGAUCACCACCGUAUAUUUCGUCAGUGUCGAGCACUUUUUUCCAUCUGUGGUUGAGCGUAUCCUGCGCGGCUUUAAGUCGUUGCUUCUGCUUCUUCAAGCUCCUCGUGGUAGCAAUAAUCCUUUUGUGGAGGUGCUCUUGUUCCAAGUGCUUUUCCGGGAUGAUGGGUGCAUCGUUGUCCGGACUGUUCUCCUCUCCGGAGACAGGUUUAUAAAUUUUGUCUUCGGCAUCGCUGUGAUCAGACAGCGGCCCCGGACUGUGUUUGCCGUCCCCUGGCUUAUCCUGCUCCAUCGUUGGGCCUACGGGGUCGUCGUUGUCUUUAGCGUCGUCCGGGGUAUUAUUCUUUCUUGUGCCGGUAUCGUUGUUUUUGCUAUGGCGGGCUUUAGAGCGACGCCGCUCACGUCGGCGCUUUGUUUGCUUCUCAAGGGGAUUAUCCUCCGUUGCAUCAUCACCAUUGCUUUCUUUGGGUGUGUUCACCAUAUAUAUAUAUAUAUAUAUAUAUAUAUAUAUAUAUAUAUAUAUAUAUAUAUAUAUAUAUAUAUAUAUAUAUAUAUCUUAUGAUGAGGUGUCUUUCCAGCGCCCUGGGGGUGGUGGUUCCCGUUUUUCUCCCGCAUCAUCGUCCAUGCCGUUGAUGUCUUCGGAGUCGAAAUCAAGCGUGUCGGUUAAGUCAUCGAUAGUGGCUAUUAAGUGGGUGGUGAGUGGGUAACGAAUUCCUUCGUCAUCCGCUUCCCAAUCAAACCAGACAUAGUUCGGCCAAGAGUCUCCUGACAUGGAGAGAGAUUUUAACGAGUUCAGUACGUCGCCCAAGGGCGAGUGCUGAAAGAUAUUCGUGGAGCUAAACUCCAUGAUCGGUGCCCGGUCAGAUCCGAUGGGAACGGAUGCGUGCGGUUCGGAGCCUAUGGCCGGAGACGAGUCCGAGGGUCCGAUGACACAGACCUCCUUGGAAGUGAAAUCUGUGUUCGGCUCUAUCGCCGCAGAGUGUGUGGCUUCCAUGGCGGGGUCCAUCCUCCCGUCCUUGGAUGGCACGAUCUGCUCUGAAUUUAAAGCCAGUGCAGCUGUAGGUGUGAUCUCUUGAACAACUUCCGAUGGCAUAUCUAAGUCAUGCUCAUCACGACUGUAGGGCGCACCUAUCAUGGGCUCGAAUCCAUCAAAGAUCAAGUCUCCGCGGAUGUCGGCAAUGUAGUUCAGGCUUCCAAACCUGACCUGAUGGCCAGGGGCGUAGCUAUCGAUCUGCUCCAGAUGGCCAAGCGAGUUGGCCUAGAGUGCGAAGCCGCCAAAUACGAAGAUCUGUCCGGGGAGGAAAACGUUACCCUGGAUUGCAUCAUUGUAGAUGAUUGCAGGAGCCAUCAGGCCUUAUGGUGACGACACAAUGGAACUCUCAAUGAAAGCACCAAUGUCGGUGUCAAAACCGGCGGAUCUCGGUUAGGGGUCCCGAACUGUGCGUCUAAAGCUAAUGGUAAUAGGAGGCGGGGGACACAAUAUUUACCCAGGUUCGGGCCCUCUCUAUGGAGGUAAUACCCUACUUCCUGCUUGAUUGAUCUUGAUGAUAUGAGUAUUACAAGAGUUGAUCUACCACGAGAUCGUAGAGGCUAAACCCUAGGAGCUAGCCUAUGAUUAUGAUUGUUGUUGUCCUACGGACUAAACCCUUCGGUUUAUAUAGACACGAGAGGGGGCUAGGGUUACACAAAGUCGGUUACAGAGAAGGAAAUCUACAUAUCCGAAUUGCCAAGCUUGCCUUCCAUGCAAAGGAGAGUCCCACCCGGACACGGGACAAAGUCUUCAAUCUUGUAUCUUCAUAGUCCAACAGUCCAGCAAAAGCAUAUAGUCCGGCUAUCUGAGGACCCCCUAAUCCAGGACUCCCUCAGCGGGAGCUAGGCGGGAAGAACCCUAUUCCAUCUUCAAGAAGUCGCCGCUAAACCCGGGCAUGGGCAGCCCGGCCCGACGACUCGGCCCGAAAAACCCUGGCCGGGCCGAGCCGGGCUUGACAUUCGGGCCGGGCUCGGGCUUUGUUUUGCAGCCCGAAAGAUAGUUCGGGCCGGGCUCGGGCUUCAAUUUUUCUGUAUUUUGGGCCGGGCUUUCGGGCUUCGGGGCGGGCUUGCACGUGCGCGUACUAAAAAGCAGCAUUUGGGCCGGGCUUUCGGGCUUCGUGCUUGAUUUCGUGCCGGGCUCGGGCUUGAAAAUAUGGAGUAUUUCGGGCUUCGGGCCGGGCUCAGGCUUGUGAAAUGAAGGUCGGGCUUUUACAAGCCCGGCCCGGCCCGACGUUUGCCCAGGUUUAGUCGUCGCUGCCACAUCUUCUUGAGCAAGGUACAAAACCUAACAAAACUCUUGCAGGCAAGAGUCGGGAUCCAUCGCACCUCCAUGGUCCAUGGACCAUAGGAGACGAGGCGGACAGGCGGCGGCGUCGGCGAGAGGCAGGGAAACCCUAGAAUAGAGUUCGCAGGAGGCCACAAGAUAACAACCUACACACGAUAACUAGUUAAGCAAGUAAUAAAAACUACUCCCUCCGUUUCUAAAUAUAUGUCUCUUAAGAUAUUUCAAUAUGAACUACAUAUGUAUAUAGACGUAUUUUAGAAUGUAAAUUAAUUUAUUUUACUCCAUAUGUAGUCAAUAAUGGAAUCUCUAAAAGAGCUUAUAUUUAGGAAUGGAGAGUGUAGUAAAGUUAGGUUUAGAAACAACCGAAAGUGAUGCACACAAAGAUGUAAUCUGAAGUCCACACUUCUGGGAAGUGUUAAUCUACGUUGCAGAGGUGCGGCACAACGAAUUCUCCUACGACAACGAAUGUCUAGGGCCGGUCAUGAGGUUUCGUUGGCUCGGGCGGACCUGAAGCUUGGGGUGCCUCAUUAUAAAUGUCAAAAUAACAAUCCAUAUGCAAUAUCCAAUAUGUGGAUAAAUUGUUUUAUACUUACUACCAUAAAAUUUUCUUAUAACAUUCCAAAAUACAAAAGUUGAUGAUGAUGGUAUCAAUAUUAAUGUGAUCUAACAAUUCCUUCUCAAUGAAGAAGUUGGUCUUAAGGAUUCUAACAAUACAUUUACUAUGUGAUUCAUCAACUCAUGUACUUAUUUCCCCUUUUUCCGCUAUCGAAUACAUACUCGUUAGAUGAUGUGACAUUUUUUAAAGAAAGGUUAGUAAUUAAACCUAGCACAAAGCUAAUAGAAUCAUGAAUUUAUCGUACAAAAUCAAUUAGUUAGGGCAAAAUAGCAUAGACAAACCUGUCUGAGAGAGAUGUCAAUCGGAUCCAAGCAGGAUCACUGAAGACCAAUGUCGACUGGAUUCAAGAAGAUUGUUGGAGACACCUCCACACACCUCCGUCCACACUAGUCGCACCGCUGGAGCAGAAAUAGGACAGGAUGAGCAUCAUUUAAAUCUAGGACAUUGCUUGGUCGCCCUAAUUCGGACACUAAAACUACCUAAAGCAAGGAUGGGAUCCCUCCCACCGGGGCGGGACGCGGGAGGGGGGGGGGGAGGGUUUGCCGCACCUCCCAGGGCCAUAGGUCAGUUGGAGGGAGGACAGACCGGCGGUGGCGCCGACAAGGGGGCAGAAAAAUCACUUGUGGAAGGAGAGGGGAACGUUUCAUACGAUGGCUAUAGAAACAUUAUAGAUUUGAUGUACUCCCUCAGUUACAAAAUACCAUAGGUCUUUUUAGAUAUUUCAAUAUAGACUACAUACGAAGUAAAAUGAGUGAAUGCAUAUUCUAAAGUAUGUCUAUAUACAUCCGUAUGUAGUUCUAUUGAAAUCUUUAAAAAAGACUUAUAUUUAGAAACAGAUGGAGUAGUACAAUAUGAGUGCUUAUUUCUAAGAUCAAACCAUCACUCUACUCAUUAGCUCAUAAUUUAGCAUCUCUUGCUGCGUGCGGUAAUAAUAAUAGGACUAAUCCACCCAAUCAUUGUGAGCACCAAAACGCAUCCAAAAAACCCUUUGGCUUGUGAUGUGACCUCCAUUAUUUUCCCUCCCUCCUUCCCGGACGACUCUCUUUCCUUGCCUUUAAAAGUCCAUCUCUCCCGGUCUCUUCCGAUGGCACAAGUUCGUACUGCUUGCACACCCACUACAGUCUCGGUGUAUCGUCUCACUUGUCUUUACGUGGCAAGCCCGGGAGUUUCCCCUUCUUUUGCUUUACUUCUCUUUUUUCCUCUUUACUUUCAGAAAUUUCUACUCUUUUCCAUAAAUCCUUUUUAGGGAACCUUCCUUUAUGUAUGCAUACAUGAAAGAGGGAAUAUGUCCACACCAAAAGAAAAGUUAUAAUAAAGAAAUUAUACUCGCACCGCUCGUUCGUCCUUUCUCCUUUUGUUAACAGUGCCCUUUUGUGUGUGUGGAGGCAGGGAGGCAGGCUGGUCCACCAUGGAAUUAGAAUGAGUAAAAGUCAAAUCCAUAUUGCACCAUGCCAACAAGGCUGCCGAGUCAUCCUAUCACCCCUUUCUUUUCAUGCUUUGCUACUCGUACUUUUCCCUCACUCACAUGCAUCUACAAGAUUGAUCACAUGGAUUCUAAUCAUGUCUAUUACUACUAGAACUCUUUGUUUUCCCGUUUUAUUGAUGUUAUUUACUGAUGCAUAAGAAUACAGGUGAAUAAAAUGUAGAGUACGGCUGAAAUGUGUGGUAAAAUCAACCGUUCCUAAUCAACCCUAGCCACCGCCGCCGCCCCCACUCUUCUACCCACCCGUUGCCGUCAGAGGACGCCGGUAGACAAAGCCCACACGGCUGACGGCUGCAGCGGGGUUGCCUUCUCGCGCAGGGGAGCGCUUCCUGAUCGUAUGACAUGGUGGCUCUGGACGGUGUGGCGUACACGAUGGAGCUUGGACGUCGGGACGGCGACCCUGGGCACUCUAGGAGGUGGCCCAGCUGUGGUGCUAGGUGACCGGCGGUGUCGGGCAUGGACAACUUUCGAUACUCAGAUGUAGCAGUAAACCGUUGGCGACAACUCGACAGCCUAGUCGACGGUGGCAACACUAAUGCGGUAGCACACAAAGUGAUGCGUCAAUAAGCUGGGGUGGUGCGCCUAUAGCCUAAGGCGGCCAUGGAGUUGACACCAUGCCUCUGCGUCGUUGUCGUUGGCGACCUCUAGCACAUUUACCCUGGAGCACGUGCUUGAGUUGAAGUUGCCAACGACAUUUGGCUCUCCACGGUCUGUGAUCGUUAUGUGUUCGCAAGCAUGGAUUUGGGCGCAUGGCGAUAUCCAUGCCAAAGAUAUGCAAGUGAGCGAUUGCCUCCGGGCAGGUAUGUCAUGGAGUGAUUUAUUANNNNNNNNNNNNNNNNNNNNNNNNNNNNNNNNNNNNNNNNNNNNNNNNNNNNNNNNNNNNNNNNNNNNNNNNNNNNNNNNNNNNNNNNNNNNNNNNNNNNNNNNNNNNNNNNNNNNNNNNNNNNNNNNNNNNNNNNNNNNNNNNNNNNNNNNNNNNNNNNNNNNNNNNNNNNNNNNNNNNNNNNNNNNNNNNNNNNNNNNNNNNNNNNNNNNNNNNNNNNNNNNNNNNNNNNNNNNNNNNNNNNNNNNNNNNNNNNNNNNNNNNNNNNNNNNNNNNNNNNNNNNNNNNNNNNGGGGAGGGGGGGGGGGGCGAGGGGGCAACACAUGAUAAACUUUGGCCUUGGUGAUACUCGAGGGGUGUCGAACUUGGGGGAAAACCUGUGGCCGCACCUUGCCAGGAUGGUGUUUACGCACGGCGUCCUUGUUGAAGACAUUGCUUUGCAGUCUACCCAGACGUGUUGUAUGGGGUGAAGAUGUGGCAGGUCGUUUCUUCCUUGAGGCGAGGCAGGCUGAAACCAACACAGAUGUCCAACAUCACCAAAACCAACCACGAGGACACCGCGAGUGAUCAAGGUGGCGCCUUCAUGAAGAAGAACGAUAUCGUCACCAUCCGAUCUAAAGAACCGGACCAAGGGUUUUCCAUUUACUCGUCUAGGAGCAAAUAACUAAUUUUCUUUCAGUCUAAGCACCCUCUAAAAAUAUUCUUCAUAGUUUUCUAUUUUGCUCUACAUCAGAACAUUUCCUCCCGUAGUGCUCGACCCCCGUCUCAUUAUUAGUCAUGGCACAUGAACACAGACAUUCCAUCAGUUUUAAUGCCAACGCAGUAUGCAGCACACAAUCAAGGCACCAUCAUCAGAGAGAACAAGUGAUCAAGGUUUAUCCACAUUUAUUUAGAUAAAAUGAGAAGCCAGCAACAUUAAUCAAUGCAGAUGUAGAUAGAGCUCAUGGGAAGUGGGGAAUUGCAUUCAUGGCGCCGUCGUAGAGAGGGAGCAAGCCGGAGAUGGAGCAAACUUGCCCUGCCGCCUACCUUGUCCCUCCUCCAUGAGAAUGCUACUCCAAGAGCCAUCAAUGGCUAAUUCCCUACCUCCCCCCCCCUACAGGAACCGUCUUUUCCAGCCGCAUUGCAAAAUGACACCUU
rnacentral:lncRNA from 1 species